rnacentral:lncRNA from 1 species
UUUUUUUUUUUUUGUACUUUUACUUCAUAUAUUGUAGCCUAAAUUCAUAUAUCAUUUGUCAUUUACAAUUAACACACAUAAUAAAUCAAAUGAUGCAUCAAGAUUCAUUAUGAAAAUUAAGGUUACAAUCCAAAUAGAAGUUAGAAACCAAAUCAAUAAAUAGAAGUUUUCAAUCCAAAUAGAAGUUAAAGUUUCAAACCAAAGCAAAAUUGAGAGUGGAUUUAAACUUCAAAAAACAAAAAUAUAGGGUAAAUUACAAAAAAACUACCUCAACUAUUGGGUCAACCACAGUUUCAAACUCAUCUUUAAAACAUCUCAAUGUCAUACAUUAUCUUCAAAUUUGUUGCAAUGACAUACCUUCUGUCAGUUUGUUUGUCAAUUCCUCUGUUAAAUGUUGACGUGGCUUUGAGGCAAAGCCCACUUUCUAUUAAAAAUUUAAUUAAAUAUUACAAAAAUUAAAAUACAAUUAUUAAAAUAUUUUUAUAAAAAUAAUGUGGGACCCACCCACCUUCUUCCUAUCCCACCCGUCUCCCCCCACAUUUCCUCCCUUCACUCCAAAACCAGAACCCCACCAUGACUUUCCCUCACCCUCAUCCUCCCCACUCGAUCGCCUUCUUCACCAAAUCACCCAGUCAUUUACACUUCGAUCAAGCCAUUCCCCUCCAUGCCCGUCCUCCCUUACGCCCCCCUCCGCCGCCACACCUGUUGCUUCAUCCUCAACCCUUUUUCCACCGUCGAUUACGCCACCAAGGUUUGGAUCUGCCCUGUCUGCUUCACUCGCAACCAUUUCCCUCCCCACUACGCCUCAAUCUCCGAUGAGAAUCUCCCCACCAAGCUUUUCCCCCAGUACACCACCAUCGAGUACGACUCGUCCAUCGAAAAACCUACCUCGCCUCCGAUCUUUAUUUUCGUUGUCGACACAUGAUCGAGGAUGAGCUCUCGUUUCUCAAGUCCACUUUGUCUCAUGCUCUUGGUCUCCAUCCCCAUAUAUGGAGAUAAAGGAGUAGGCGAGUGAUGGGGGAUGAGGGAAGGGGUGAUGGGGGAUUUUUGGGUCGGGUUGCUUAAAAGAAGAAGAAGAAGAAAUGGGAUUCUUGGGAGAAGGGGGUGGGUGAUAGGGGCUUUGGUUUUGGUGGUGAAGGAAGGUUGGGAGUUGGGGACACGGGUGGAUGGGGAAGAAAGGGGCUUUGGUUUUGGUGGUGAAGGAAGGUUGGGGGUACGUAGGGGACACGGGUGGAUGGGGAAGAAGGGGGUUUUGGUUUUAGAGUUAAGGAAGGAAAGGUGGGGGGAGACAGGUGGGAUAGGAAGAAGGUGAGUGGGUCCCACAUUAUUUUUUAUAAAAAUAUUUAAAUAAUUGUAUUUUAAUUUUUUUAAUAUUUAAUUAAUUUUUUAAUAGAAAGUGGGCCUCAUCUCAAGCCACGUCAGCAUUUAACAGAUUAAUUGACAAACAAACUGACGGAAGAUAUGACAUUACAACAAAUUCAAAGAUAAGAUAUGAUAUUGAAAUGUUUUAAAGAUAGGGUAUGAAACUGUGGUUUACCCAAUAGUUGAGGUAAUUUUUUGUAAUUUACCUAAAAAUAUACUAUGGAUGUGUUUAUUUACAAUCACUAGCUUAGACUGAACUAGCUAUUAGUCCAAUAUUAUGUUUGUCCCUCGCUGGACUAGAUUUAAAUGAGACUACGGCGGACGCUCUUCGACUAAGUCCUUCGCAAGUUCUUAGCGAAGCCCCCUAACAAGCAGAGGACUGUUAAGACCGUUUACGUCUUCCUCCUUGCAUCCUCGUCCAGUAGUCAUUCUCGCGGCCUCAUCCUCGUGCUGCUUUACCGAUUUCGUCGGACCACCCACCGAUGGUGAUGGUGAUGAUCAUCGAAAACUAUACGAGUUCUUGGCUCCGUGCUUCCUCCUUGUGUCCUCGUCCGGCCGUCCUCCUCACCUUUGACUAGCACUUGCUCGUCCUCUUCCUGCACCUCAAAAUCCAAGGUCCGCUUGAAUUGAUUUCACAUUUUAUGAAUUAACCCAAUUAAUGGAGGGGCUGCGUUGGAGAAGUUUUUGUUAGUAGUGGCUGCAACGAAAGAGUUGGGGCUGUGAUGGAAGAGUUGUUAGUUCUGAUUUUUUUUAAUGGAGUUGGGGCUACGAAGUUGGUUGUGAUGGAGGAUUUGUGGGGUGAAGGAAUAGUCGGCAUGAAGAUACUAGAAUUUUUUUUUUUUAAUUAUGGAUUUUAUAAUUUAAAAGAUUUAUUUAUUUUAUUUGCUUAUCUCUUAGUCCGACAUUGUAUCAAACGCUUCACUAAGUCAGUCCAACUUUGUUUAUUCUAAAUCAGUCCAGCUUAGUCUCUGAAGCUAGUCUAGUCUGAAAUAGUCUGGUGCAACAAAAGCACCAUAUAUGUUAAUUCUUAAAACAUAAAUUAUGAGUUUUGUAAAAUCAAAUCAAUGACCUAUAUUUUAUUUAAAGUGUGAUAAUGUUGUGAUAAUGUUGUCGAAUACCAAUACCGUAUCAUAAAAUUUCAGUUCGGUACAAUAACAUGUCAUUACCGAUUGACACAAAAAAUUUGGCACAAAAUUAGUAUGAUACGGUUGGCAUGGUAAUUUGGCAAAAAAAUACAUCCCUAAUUUCACCAAUUUAUCCCCGUUCGAGCUGAGAAAUCCGGGUUGGGUAUCAAUUUCAGACAGGACUUUGGGUUACAGAUACUAGGCCCAAUGGUCUCAAACUUUGGGCUGGAGGUGGUCUAAUGGAGUUCAAAUAGUUGCUUUCAUGGAUUGAAGACUGGAUGGAGCAGGAGGCUCUAUAUUUUUAUUGUUGAUAUAAGAGCAUAAUCAUGCAUGCAGUUCUUUUUCAACACAGAUUUUCCUCGAUGAACUACAAUUUAAUUAAAAAAAAUCUUAAUCCUUAAGCUCUGGACACCAAAGUCUGGAGAUGAUCCAAAUUCCUCCUUUUAGCCCAUCUUUCACUUUAUUUCUUGCUAAAAAUAAUAUAAUAUUAGAAUUAGUUACAAUGACUAGUGUUGUUGGAGUUGAUGGAGUUAAACUGAUUAAUUAAAACAAAGUUUGGAGUCAGUAACAAACUAAAUUAACAAAAUUUUCUAGUGUCUUAGAGAUGCUUUAAUGUACAUGACAUAAGAAUUGAGGUCUCCCAAAUAGAAAUCCACGUACAUAUGAAAGCCAUGUUUGCAAAAGCGCAUUGUUAUUAAGAAGUGCAACCUAAUACAAUCACAUGUAUAUGGUGCAAAGACUGACAAACUACAUAACAUAAGUCGGAAAAAUGAAAACGUGGUUAGUCAAGGUUUUAGAGCUAUCUCAACGAGACAAUCAGUAAGAACAUUUUCGAGAGAAGAUCUAAUUUUUGUUAAAAUAAUAACUGAACAGUGUCAAAAAAUUAUUUUAGCUACUCAAUUUAAUUUUUCGUCUUCAACAACUCUCUAUUUUAACAAAUUUUAAAUAUUAUAUUAUUAAUAAUUCAAAUUCAACCCAUUUAUUUUCUAAAAAUAUCACCUUCUCUCUUUCUUUUCUCCUUAGGUUUAUGGAUCUACCAUGAAGUUUUACCAAUAUUUAACAUUUAACUGACAUAUGAACCGUGACUAUAAAUUUAAAGAGCAAGUCACUUUGCUAUUAUAUAGUUUCUUGGAGAUGAGUUUUGGCUCUUUAAAAUAAAAUUUUAGUGGUUUACACACAGAAUCUUACUCACUAAACACAAGGUUUGACGAGUUUUGAAUACAUUAGAUAAGCAACCUACAUAGUGUCAAAAAAAUUAAAGUAAGGUUAACUUGCGUAACACUUUCUAAUUACCUGUAACAGUAUUAGCAUUUUUUUUUCACUCAUUUAUUGGAGUUCACAACAACUAGAUGAUCAUGAGAGGUAGUCCGAGUAAUUGCUGUCCAAAUCACAACUUAUGAACUAUAAGGGUCUAAUAUGUUUCGGGUUCUUCCGAGAUUUCGAACACACUAAGUCAAACAAGACACGAUAAUUAGGUCUAACAAAUAGUGUUGGGAUGAGCGGGCUAUUGCUGAAUGCGAAAUGAGGAGCACGGAAAUUAUUUUACUGGACAAUUUUGUUAUAUUGUGUACCAAAUGAACCUUCCCAAUUUGAGAUUCUCCUAAACAGCUUUGCCAAUAAUUCAGCGGGAGCAGUCUAUCAAAUCAAUAGUUCACAGUCCUAUCCAGGAAACCUGAAUUCAAAGAGGGAAGCAAAAAAUGGAAAGAUAAAAAACCAGCCUUCUUUCGGUGAAUGUGCCCACGCCAUGGCCAGUACGUGUUGAUAGGAUGGCAUUUUGUAAAAGGUUGCCUCGUUCGCAACCCACGCACAAUAAAUCACCCUAAACAGAAAAAGAGGGCAAGCGUUUUCACACAAGUAGAAUUGGCAUAGUUGGUUGGGUAACAGAUUUAAUAAAUACGCAGAAUACUUAGUCAAAUAAACAAACAAUACGAAAACGCAGUAUGUAGAGAAAAGCCUGAGUGCUGUACAUGAUAAUUACUAAUCGAGAAAUCUAUGCCAUCACAAUUGAGCACUUGCUUAAUAAUUUCUACUUUGAUGAGCUUCAACCAUUGACCAUAGAGUUUUUGUAUCUCAAUAAAAGCUCAACAAAUAACAAGUGCGAAAAGAUCACCUAGAGGUUAGGCGAGAUUGAUUGCCACUGCUAUUUAGUUGUAUGGUCACUGAAGAGAGAUGUUUAUCGCGAUAGUUUGUAGUAGUGAGGCUGAAGUAUUCCCUUCGCAGAAACAAGAGGACUCAGGAUGCUACAGAAUAAGAGGAUAAAAUAAACACUGGGUAAAAGCUAUUAAAAUAUAUAUCAGAAGACUAUGGAUUUUAGCAAUAUUUGAGCUUACAUCUGUCGUCUAGAGGAGUAUUUCUGGGAUUUCUAUAUAAUUUCAAGAUAAGAGCACACCAAUCAGAUUAAAUGGCGACUAAGUUCUCUGCAAUGUCUAAAAAACCAAAAACCGGUAGCAAUAGGAGGUGACCUCUUGUGUUAUUGGUUGUGAGUUUAAUGUAACCUACAGAAAGUUCUUUGGGUUUCGUAGUUUAACAAUAAACUAAAAACGAAGACAACACUGAUGCACAUCACAUGAACCCGAAGGCAGUGUGUAUCGGUUCUCAUCCAUGUCGAAUAAAGAGAAGGUAAAUGGGUAGUGGUACGUUCUUGCGAACGUUGUGACAUACUCCACGCCUCACCGCCCACCCGCCCCGACAAACAAAGAGCCACUAGAAAGCCAAGACGUUUACAGUUCGGUCUUAUAUUUAAAAGACUACAUUCACCGCAAAAGGAACAAAAGAAGAAAAAAGCUUUUGUCACAACCAUAAUAGAUACGGAUGCAAGUAAGAACCAAUGCAUAGACCUAAACGACUUUGGUUAUGUAAAUGAUAGCUAGUCUUACAUUAAUAAUGGGAGCUUUGUACAAAGAGCACUGUACACCAUUCUACAAAUUAACGUUGUUAGUGUGCACACUCCACAAGAAGACUCAUCGAAUACUGUGGGAGCGGAACUCAUACAAAACAUCAAAAAGGCCAGCUUCUAGAGGAUCUGAGUUAAAUCUAUCAAUGUCUUAAAAGUCACCUGGUGAAUACAUUUUUCUGGUGCUUGUUCGAGAGGCGAGUAAGAUUCGUAAGUGAGUAAAUUACAAGAUCUGACGGACAAGAAUUCUCUAUUAUAAGGGGAAAAGGCUCAACAUUAACGAAUGCUUGCUAGAGAAAAGAGAAUGGUUGUAAUACAACCCCUUCUCAAUUUUUUGAAAGAGAUAAAAUGAAAGUAAGGUCAAAUUCCAUGAAAAAACAAGACGUUGUAAAAAUGAUAAAUGCUCAGAUACGAAGAAUAAGGUGCACGAUAGUGAAUAGGAUUACUCACGAACACCACCCAAACCUAUUGUAACCCUUAAGGAGCGGAAAAUGGUCUUUAAUAAAAUGGAAUUAGAACUUUUUAAGGUGUCUAAUGGUCAAUAAGAGCGUGUGAGUGUCAAUUGCCGGGUUGUAAAAAGUGAAACAAUACUGUCUUUCGUAAUACUGUGCCAAUUAACCUAGUAUUUUUUUUUUGUGGCUUUUGUUAGUUUAUUGAUUAGGUGGAAGGGGAAUAUUUCAAACGCAACUCACGUUUGAAAAACCAAAAAAAUUGUGACAAAAGGCACUAUCAAUGUUUGUCAAGAGAUAUUUCUAUUCGAGGUUGUAGAAAAAUUCAUCAGAUAGGUUGAGUGUACCAACACGUAAUUCCAAUCAAUUUCAAGAAACUAAUCAACUCCAAGAGAGACAUAAAUUUGCGGCUGUUAUCAUCAUCAUAUUCACGCGGUUAAUGUCCUUGAGAAACAGAAGUUAGCAAAUAAAUAUUAUCAGGCACUUAAUUAUACAAAAUCUCUUCACCCGAUACACAACAAGUGGCAUAAAUUCCACACACCACACUAAUUUGAAGAGGCCAUAAUAAAUAACUUCUACCUCUAUAAUUUGUAUAAUCUAUCAGACACAAUAGUACGUCAUCCUCUCAACCGAAGGCGCAAGCAAGGCGGACUUAUGCAGCGAGUUAAAAUAGCACUAAACCAUCACACCACGCGAAGACCAACAUAGCACCAGAGGCAUACACGGAAUUGGGAGUUCCAUGCCCAAUCAUGAGAAUUCACAGAAAAGGCCAAAGGGACGCGGACCACAUAAAGUAGGGCUUCUAAUGGACAUUUGUUUAUCACUUUCGGCCUAAUCCGUCAAACGUACACGAGUCUGAGCCGGAACACGCCCGCACCUACAUUCACUUUUUUAAGUUAACCGCACCCAGUUCUAGAUACAAACAACGUUCAGAAUUUCAAACAUGACACAAAAAAUACAAUCAUUACAAUACUGUCGCGAAUAUAGAGCAAACAGUAACAAAUGAAUGUGAAUUCGCACCAAUUAUUCAAGGCAAGAGAUACUUUUUCUAAGAUUAUCAUCGACUAAAUAUUAUGUAUCAGUAACAAACACCGAAAAAAGCAGGUAGGUACUGAAGAUACAAGUUAAGAAAAUUUUGGAUUCAAUAUAGAAAGUUUAAAUUCCGCGCUAAGUGAAAGCCCGGACGGUAUAACUUUUUUUAGACAUACAGGAUUUUAAAACCCUUCUCUUUUUGAGUCGCGUCCGCGAAGUGAUAUCUUUUCCUCUUUCAAAAACGACAUUCAAUAUCAUAUAGGCUAUGACGUUCCCUAAUAAAUUACUUUUUUUCAAAUUCUAUCAUACUCACAGACAAUCUAUGUUUCCAGAUUUGUUUUAAUAUCGUGAGUAACUUAUUUGUAUGUCCACCGAGUAAAGCGUAGCUGUGACGUAGUGUAUAAAAAAAAAACAAAAGAGGCCUUACAAGUGGUAGAGGUGCGAGUAUAGUAUUUAAAUAAAAUUCCAUUUCACUUGUGUUCACAUGUAACAUCAUAAAAUUCCCAUCACACAACAAUUUGUCUAUCAAUAUAAGUUGCCUAUAAAGCUAUAAUUUUUUUCCUAUAACUUCUAUUUUACAAAGAGUAAAUACUCAAUACCUCCAGCGUUCAGGUCAACUUACAACCACUAACCAAUAAGGAUUGCGCUUGCCACACACGCACUUCUCAAUAAAACAAUCCAGUCUCUGAACAUAGUAAUCAACCAGCGGUAUAACGCCCCAUUUCUUUCAAAAUAACAACCUCAUUUCGCUCGUUAGAUUUCCAUCCAUUAGUCGUUUAAAUGCUGACGUGGCGCCCACAUUGUGCUGAUAGGUGUUUAAUUUUAGGACACGAGGCGUCAGGCCACGUAGGCAUAAAAGAGACUAAUUUUUCUAAUUUUCAACUUCUUUAUUUAUAUUCUAAUGCUCUAAAGUAUUCCACAAAAAAGAGAAAAAAACUUGAAAACGGCCAGAAACCAAAGGUCCCCCUUACUAUCGUGUAGCUUUCUCCCUCAUAUUCGGUUUCUCUUCUCCGCCCAACCCACAAAAAAAACGAACUUGAACCAAUAUUUCUUACUCUCCUCUCUGCCGUGCAAACAAAACUCAACUAUACACAAGAACCACUCUCUACCCCUAACGCAACCUUGCCUGCAUCACCGACGCACUAGACUCUCUUCUUCCCCCCCCCCGCUCUUCUGUCUAUAGCAAACCUGGAAAUGAGACUAACACAUCCAAGACAUUGGUCGCAAACAAAUUCUGCAACCCAAAAGCCCAUACAGAAAACUACACUCCCACCCCAAACAAACCCUAAUCCUUUGAAACCAUUUCUCGUUAUUUAAACACACUUUGGGCACAUCAGCAAACUAACCAAUAUAGCCCUCGUCCCUGUACCCACAACACCGCCACCCGCGGCCACGCUGUCGCCGAAAACUCGCCUUCUGCCACUAACACGGCAUCACUCCUUGCAUGAUACUCCUUACAGACAUUUCACAUGUUAAAGCCGACUACUACGUUUAAUAUAAAGGCGCGACAAAAGACAAUUAGCCUUGAAUACCUCUAAAUCCCAAAAAGACUCUGGCAUACCAUAACUAGACACAUGGAAAAUUAAACUCCACCCUCCCUACCAAAACAAACCAGAUCACACGGAAAAUAAUUGCUCCCCCUCCUUCACCCCAGGAUACUCUCAAUCCUGGGAGACAGUAGGAAAUACAUACCCGGGAACACGCAAUAGGUCUCCUGAUCCGAUCCGGGAGUAUCCGAGGCGAUCUUUCAUAUAUAUACCUAACACGAGGUAUCUAUCUCAAACAUUCCUCAGUCAUCAAAAUUAUGGAGACUCAUAUUUCUGAGAUAACCAUGCGUUCUUUUGAGAGUGAGUCAGUUUGAGGUGGCUAGCUCGCUUCUACCGGUGAGAGAGAAGGUUGACGUUGAUUUUCCGGAAGAUGUAACAUAGUCUCGAAUAGCACGAGAACCAGACCCCACACGCACAACAUAUAGCAGGCCGCGGCUGCUCAACCAAAAAUGACGACGAAAGGGAGGCGCAAGCUGACACGAAAGAAGAUGCGUACAAACAAACUAUAAACCAGAAGGAAAAUGCUAGAAGGAAGGCGGCGAAGACCACGAGAACGUAGUUCUUGGCGUCGGUGGAAGACAAAAAUCCACACUGAGCGAUAGGAGCAAGAAGCUGGGGGGGUCAGCGCGAUGGAACUGCCGCUUCAAGUUUUAACAUUUUUAUCUUGUGAGUAUAGCUAGUAGCAUAAUAAGAACAGCACCAGACUUAAGACAGAAAAAUAGAACCACAACUUAACGUACUUCUCCUUGGGCCCAGCGCCGCUAGGCGACCACCCGAGCAUUCAACUACGACUCGUCGGUAUACCGGUGAGUAAUCUAACGAUGUUAUCCUUGAAGAUAACUAACCAGUUAGACUAUGAGUUGUCUAAACAGUCACCCAAAUGCCACUGCAUCCACGCGCGCGGUAUUUGGAUAAUACAGAAGCAUUAUAUAUGUGGUGAGAUUGAGGAGUUAGGAAGUAAUUGGGGCUCAAAACACCACCCGAAGGGUAGCACUAAUUAGGAGCAUCGUUACCCUUAAUUAUCCAAAUAUGCUAUAUACAAUAUUUUCUUAUAUCAAGAUAUACUACUAUAUCCUAUUUUACAAAUCUUGCGCCUUAAAGUAUUUGAUGGGAGAAUUUAUCUUCUAUUGUUAUUAAAUUAUCGACAUUUAUUAUGCCUAAUAUCAUCUAGCCUUCAUGAGUUGAAAAGAAAAUUGUGAUGUUCAUAUUUUUUUCAAAUUCUAUUUUUUUUGGUCACUAAACAGACCUUCCUAGUCGUCAUUUAUACAACAUUAUAUAUCUCAAAAAUAAGGGUACAUAAAACUAAACAUUAUAAACAGAAGUUAAAUAAUACAACAAUUAAAUAUUAACACCAGAAUAUCAAUAAAGCAAAAUAAUUCACACAUCGAGACAAAAAAACAUUUACAUCAAUGAAAUUAAAUAACAAACAUUUCUAAAAAACAUAACGAAAACAUAAAACACAUAAAAGCACAACCCCUUUCAUUGGAAACUCAUUGUGGCCCCGAUUGGGGGCAGACGUUUUGUGAACAUGCGAAGUUAAUAACGAGUCAUAAGAGUACUGGUCCCUUGGCGCUCACUCUUAGAGAGAGUGGAAUGAGGACGGGCAAUUAUGAUCUUGUAAUCCUCGUUCCAUUAAAAAAUUUAAAUUGAGAAAUCUGAAAAGGUUAGCAAGCUAAAAAACGACGCCCAUCGUACCAGUACCUCGGUUAGUAGACAUACGGGCUACAAUAAUCAACUCAACUUAUGUUUACUCGGUCCGGCUCCUUUGGAGCGUACCUUUGGAAGAGCACGAAUGGAUAAACCGUCGGAAGGCUGAUUCCAACGACAAAGCAAAUGGGACACGAGCUAGGUAUAGCUGAAUUCUUCUCUCAGAGUGAAGAAGUGCUCGAUCUUACAGCGAGAGCCAGGGCACCAAAUAGAAAGAUGCAGAGCAAAUACUGUGGGACAGACACUGCUCUCCUAUCAGCUUACAGUACUACAGACCUGCACUAUACGAUGUCAGAUAGGUCAAUCGAUCUCUCAGCCAUCUCUUGACCAACAGUACCAAUGCUUGCCUGUAUCGAUCCAUCUCCUGCUACCCAUCACAGAACGGAAAAUUAUUGGUUAAAAUUUUAGUGUCUUUGUAAAUGGUCACUGGUCAGAGAUGUAAAGGUUCUCAGAGAAGAAUCUAAAAACCUGCGCGAUCGUAAAGGGAGGCUGAUAGAUCCAAUGCUAGCAGAGCCAGGUAUGAAUACAAAUUCAAGCAACAAACUUGAACAAGAACAUAAAGUCUAAUACAGAUUCACAUUCUAAUCACUAAUCCAAGAACAGUCAGGAAGUCAAUAUAUGAGAUAUAUACGAACAUCGCGCGCGGAGAGGAAUAAAAUACACUAUCAGAUUCAAAACUCACGCCAUUGUUUCCUUCCUGCAUGUCUGCAUUUGAAUUUGGUAUUACUAAAUUAAAGGGCAACGAAGGUGGUGGACAGACGAGUAUAUAUAGAAAAAUUAACAAAACGAGAGAUGUAGUUAAUAAAGUAAAGACUAUAAAUUAAAUGGAUUAAAUUAUUUAUAUUAGCUAUUAAGGAAUUUAAUUAAUUAUGUAUUAAAUUUAAAUGUGUUUUCAAGAAAUAAUAAAUAACAAUAACACGUGAAAUUUGAAUUCAAAACAGUGUGUGGUGAGUGCCUUUUAGAGGUACUUCUCAAAUCAAUACAUACAGUCAAACCCAUGUUAGUUUAGAAAAAUAACGGAUAAAUAAGGUUUUUCCAGACAUUCAAAAGAACUUUUAUUUUAAUGCGAAAAAAUGAACAAAUUAGGGAAAUUCAUAGGAUUGAUGCAAUUGCGCAAAUAAACAUCAUAAGUUGUAGAUAGGAAAAAACCCGAAAUAAGAAAAACAACACUAAGUGAGAGUAUUGUUUCGAUAAUUAUUGUAAAAACUGCAAUAGUACCCGAUGAGAAGAUAAUCCACACAGCGUUAGAAACUUCUUAAUUUAUCAUUUGAAUCAACAAUCCUUUUAAUUUGAAAACUAAAAAUUAAAAAUGUGUAUGAAAAGUAAAAAAUGAAGACCUAUAUAAGAGAGAAUGGCCAGUACCCGGGAUAAAAACUUGUAUAUCGGUUUAAUAUAAUUAUUUCAACUUAUAAUGUCAUCUUUUCCAACAACACUACCUUUUAAACUGCUCUAAUAUUUGUAUAUUAAUCAUAUGGUAAAAUAAUUGAGCGAUGAAAUAAGGGGGAGGGAAUUGUUGGAUACAACAAAAGUAGAUGGGGCUAAAGACCCCGAUCUUAAAUUAUGUGGAGAGAGUGGUUUUCCAAGCCAAAGUUAACAUAAUAGGAGAUUAAAAAUAUUAUAUAAAAGCUUGUGACUAACAUUAUCGAGAUCUCAUGACUUCAUACACAAACGACUUUUAAAUGGGAAGAGGAAUUGUGCACAUGUUCCCGGCAACUUGUAUACGCAUCAUACUUUUUCUCACGAUCACAUGGGAGAAAUGAAGAGACAAUAGUCACUAAAGGCAUAAAAUCAAUGACCGCAAUUAUCCUAAUGCGACCUAGGUGCGACUUCUCAUUUGUCCUUCCCUUCAAGGGAUGGCUUGCUAUCUUUUGGUGUGUAAAAAGCGACUCAUAAAGUAAAGGUUUCUUGUUCAACUCUAUUAGAUAGAGGGAACUUAGUCAAUGGUAUUCAAAAAUUUACCAAUGAGUCCAAAACUGGCCAAUUUACUCACUCCCACUGGGAACUUCUCCAAACUAUCCAAGCCUUUCCCCGAAUGCGCGUACGGGCUAUAAAAGCAUAGUGCUUCUUAUUAGGAAAAAUUAGAGGGACACGCCAACGAUUUUCCAUGUUACCAUCGCACAUAUCCCAGGCCGAGCCAAGCGCCAGCAAGGAAACAUAGGAAAGAUAUAGUAGGCCCUUCACUAUAGGAGAUUACAUAAAUAAUAUCAUCCAAAUUUUCUUGUUAAGUGAAGCUUAAAUAGGUGUAACAACAACAGAUGAUGGGAGCUGGUAGGUUAAUGCAAGGUAUUAACAAAGUUCCAUGAAAUAAAAAUCGAAUUUAAAUGCAAAACGAAAAAAAUCUAGCUAAAAUAAACUCACUUAUAAAAAACUUUUCCCUGACGUAUUUGAGUUCUUCCCGCUUUCUCUACACCCCACAAUACCCUCACAAUUCUUAUUUCUUCCAGCGCCUCAGCGAGAGAGCAUAAGAUAUAUUUACCCAUAUGUGGUGAGUUACUUCAUAAGUAGCUAAGUGUAGUAUUUUGCGUUUGAUGUCUAUGUAGGGAAGCCCAUACAAUCGUCAUUAAUUUCAUCUACCAAAAAUCACACUUCCACUGAAUGACCAUAGAGAAGUAUUUCUCGUCUAAAAAUGCAAUGCAUUAAAAGACCAGUGCAAUAACAUAUAUUGUUCUAUAAUAAGCCAUAAAAAACACAAAUUCAACCUUGGUUUCUCCAUAGCGCUAAAAAAAAUUUAAAUUAUCACCUAACUCAAUAUGUCAUACAGAGGAUAACAUGACUACUUCCACUUCCCAUAUUAUCUCAAUUUCGAGAGAGCAGCGAUCUAAGAAGUUUGGAAAACGUAACACUCUUACGUGUAAACCUUACUUAUCCAUAUGCAUCUUCAGAUUGUCCUUAAUGAUAAAUAAAGGAAGAUCUAUUUAAGUAGAAAACUCAAUUCCAUAGAGACGGAAGGCCACAAAAGUGUAGUUCUCUCCACGAUAAAGUCAUAAAGCAUAUCUUCUGAGAGGAGACAGUUAUAUUCUGGAUAAAAAUGUUUGCUUCCGGUUACAUGAUUUCUAUUGCGAUUUAUAAAUAAUAACCUAAUUUGUGGCACAUGUGAUUAGGAUUAUUGAUGACUGGUGGAAGGUCAUCAUAAUCAUGUAGAUCGAAGCGAUCUAUGGGUAAUGGAAAUACCUUUAUUGAUGGUAUGCGGUAUAUAAUUCGUCACUGGUAUGGUAUCACCACCUUCCUUAAGGACAUUUGGCAAGAAUGAUAUUUGAGAUUGAAUAAUAAACAGUUAAAUGAAUGAAGUAUAGUAAAUGGAUCUUGAGCAUGUUAUGAAGAUAGGUGAACAUUGUUUCUAUAUAAGCACUCUUGGGAGACGCUCAAACACGAAUUAGACACCAUCGAGUUAGUUGGCACAAAAAUAUUUACAAUCUGUUAUAUGCAAGAUAAAAAAAAAGAUAUGAGUAGUAACCAUGCUAAAGAAAAAGAAUUGUAGCUACUGUAUAUAAUUUUUUCAAAUUUAAGUACAUCUGAAACUAACACAUAUGUCCUAUACCCACGCAAAUAGCUUAAAGACCUAUGAGAAGCGAGAAAAAAAAAUAUGAACGGAUAGGAAUUCAGCGUAAAAAAUAGAGAACAAUUACAUUGAUUUUUUAUUAUGUGUGUCAGUGUUGCAAAACCAUUUUUUUAAGGUAGAUAUGAUCUUUAUAAGCAGCGCAACACACAGUUAUGUGCACAGAAGCCCUCAACUGACAAAAAAGCAUGAACACCAUAUAUAUGAAUAACCUUGAGAGGUAGCGAGAGUCGGAAAUAAAAAUUAGUUGAUCCCUUAAUUUCCUAUAGAAAAUUCAGGGGAAAAUUCUAAGCAAGUCGAAUGAAAGUUCAGUGGGGUUAAAUAGACAGUGAUUAUAUGUGUCUUCACUAAAAGUUUAAAAUUAUUUGAGCCAGAUUAUAAAUAUCAACACAUCACCAUCUUAAAAAUUCAUAUAAACCAUUAGAAAACUCAUAUAAUUUUGACUUUUUUAAGCGCUCUCUUUCAUACCAAACAAUAUUCUCUCAAUUUCCUUUUAUGAGCACUACUAAAUAGAAAUAACCAAUACGGCAUGAUCCAUAAAAGCCACAAAAAAAUCUAGUACACAUGUCAUGGCACGAGCUUGAACCCUACGUUUUAGACUUACAGUCCUGUAACCAUAAAAACGAUAUAUUACACCUACUAUCAAAUCGAUUCUUGCCUUUUUAAAAAGCAAGAAACCUCCAGCAUUUCUGUCAGCACCAUAUAUAGGAAAUCUGGUUACGAGCAACUACCCUUUACUUUACAGCUCAUAUCAGCAUAGCAUGUCCUAACGUAACCAUCACAACUAGAGCUACUCCCAACUAUAAGGAAUCAGGAUCGCUCAUCACAUUUUAUGCAUUAUUCGGAUAAACCUCUUCCCUUUCCUGAUUUGAGCGACUUUGUUACCACAAAAAACCACAUAAAGGAACAUAUAACACCAUGACUUGGAUCUCGACUUGGACAGACACACACAGACAAAUCCAAAGGAGAGCUAACUGCCAAAAAAGAUUGCAAAGAGAAGAGGAGAGGCUGAGCAUGAAUCCAGUCCUCCAAGUGAAUAUCGCGAGAGAGAGACAGGGCUCACGCAGGGCAGGUAUAGUAGAUAAAUGUCUCUCCUGCCCUUAUACGUGUCACACAAUUUUACAUAUGCCUAUGUCUUUUGUGUAGUUACAAAACAAUUAUAGGGUAGAGAAGAUUCCAACACGCGUCAACAUUAUAUGACCUUAAUAGCAUGAGAUACAUAUUUUGUCUCAUUUUUAAGUAAAAACCAUACGAGAGAGAGACAUAACAUUAAAAAUGAAAAAAUUGUUAGAAAAGAAUGGCUGUAAGGGCAUCCGUAAUUGACUCCGGAGUAAUAUAAAAUAAACUCCCGGAAGUGUAGUGCAGACAAUUCUUGUCCCACACGCAGCAGCUGCAGGUCCAGAAGAAGUAAAACCGCAGAGAUAAUAUACCAGGGAUGUGCACAGAAUAAUGUGAAUUCUACUUAUGUUCAUUCUUUGUUGAUAUGACACAAAAUGACACACACUAUGAUAUUUGUAAGUUGUCUCAUCACGUAUAGUAAUAUAGAGCAAUAUCGAGGAGUCUUGGCAGGUUUAAAGUGUAUCAUGCGAGUGAGUGAUCGAUAUAUAAAUUAAUUAAAUGAGAAUUAAUUGGGUGGAUGUGAGUAGAUUGAAAGAUUAUAAAUUUGAUGAACCGUCGUGAGCUUGAUAGUUUUUAAAAUUAAGUGAAGCGGCAUUGAAUUACAUUAGCAGAAAAAGUCUCAGCAAAGAAAAAGUCUUGAUUAACACGAUAUCAAAUGAGAGAAGAAUGAUAAGAUAUAUUGAUAAUUAAGAGAACGGUUGGGUGAGCGUAGAGUUUGAUCUUACUGACAAGUGGCACUCUUGAGUCAUCAUAAGUGGGCUUAGCUUGCUAAAGUGGGAGGUACAUGUAUAGAUCACGAUGAGAAAUCACGUAAUUCGAGAUGGGCUACCAUGCGGCUUGCGAGAUUGGGCUUCAAAACGCUGGUGAUGGCUUAUGAUUUCUAUGUGUUUUGAAUAUAAUCAUCUUGACUCGACAGUGAAUUCGGGUUUUUGGAUUCAUUUAUAGAGAAAAAUAGGGCUCACUAACUAAGUAAUAUAUUUGAAGGGUGGUCGAUAUGUUACUAGCAGUAUCACGUCAUCUUUAAUCGCACACUGUACACCAGAGGUUGAUAUUAGAUCCCGAUAUCAGCAAUUUGACGAGGCCCAUUGUUACACCCUAUAGCUUCUUGCUUGGUACGGUUUUUCUCAUUAAGGGAGCUAUCGACCUUUCAAAAAAAAUAAAAAAGAGAUAUUAAAAGACAUUAGAAUUAUAACAAAAUUAAAAUACUAAGGUUUAAAAAACUAAAAUAUGUAAUGGAAAAAAAAAGAAAAAAGAACUCAUGAAUAUUAAAAAUCAAUCAUGAAAAGUGUAAAGUGUAGCUAAACCUAAUACAAAGUAGGAAAUUAGGUUCUCAUCCUAUUUUUCUUAAACUCCAUUGAUUAAAAUCUGAUAUCUAUUCUUUCUUCACACAUAUUUUCUAUAUGUCGAGCAUCCGUCGAGGUAACUAUUAAAUGUAAAAUGUCAUUAACAUUAAUGCCAUCAAAUACAAGAACAAUGCAAUCAUCUAUAUAUCGCUAAGCAUAAUAAUCAUUAGUGUUUCAGAAAAGCCUAAUAAUAACAACGUUACAUUUUUAAAUUAUCACUAUAUGGUUAACAUUUUAACACAAUCUAUUUUAGUUUACCCAUUUUUAAAGUCACAAACAUCAUUACAUUAUGAUGGCCUAAUUGUACAAUUUUCUCUUUGUCUUGAAAUGGUGCACCAACAUAAAAUUAAUUACAUUUUAAGUAAUAGCACCCAUAGAAUACUUAAAUAUUAUUCUAUUGUAUUGAAGGUAGCCCACACUUUUUAAUUGUAAUUUGUAUGUGGUAUCCCGAGCAUAAGAUUUUGUACUUUUAAAUUAUAAUAUGUAUCACCCAUAUUAUACAUACGCUUUACUAAAAUGACCUCACACUAGCUAAUAAACUGCGUAACUGAAACAACAUUAGGCACCAAGUAAUUUCUUAAUUUAGUGCUUAAAAAAUUUUAAUUAAUCUUAAAAUGUACUCAAUACAUUAUAAAUAAUUAUCAAGAAUUAUAUAACUAAUGUAAGAGAAAUUAACUCGAAUAUAACAUUUUUUCUAAUGAAAAAAAAGUUGCAUACUUAUAACACAUUACUAAUUCUAAUACAUACAAAGUUUUUACAUAACUUAUAGGUGUACAAUCUUUUUCUUUGAUUUGACGAAAUAUAUCAUAAUAGUUAAUACGAAAAAUUUGAAUGAGUAAACAUUUACUAAAUGUAUUAGUCUUUCUCUAUUUUUUUUGUUAUAUACAAGAAAACAUUGAGCGUGAGAAAUAUUUUAAAAUGGUGUGCGAAGCAAACUGUAUUAACACUCCUUCACACAAUGCACAUCAGCCUCUUUUGCAAUUACAAUAUUUUCUGAGGUUAAAAAUUUUGAUCGAUGGCUCUAAGAAACUUGUGAAGUCUCCCCGAAAAAAAAGAAUGUUCACCACAUGUUCCUUAACACACAGCGUGAUCAAAUCGAUCAACACCUGCAUAAUUCGACAAUAGUAUAAAGUAGUGUGUAAAAUUUUGAAGUAGUAAAAUAUUUUAAUACUCCUAACAUUAGUUAAUCUCUGUCUCCCACAAAUAUGGUUUUCUCUUAAUUUAAAAUCUCAUUUAAUAUAAUACCAACUAUAAUCCAGAGAUACAAUUUUUGAAAAAUAUUAAAAAAGCCAAUGGUAGAAGACAACAGCAUCUUAGUAAUAUUAGAAAGGUAAAUUAUAAAAGUAAAGCAAAUGAACAAUUUAAAAGUUCAAUACUAGAUUUAGUAUCAAUGAAACUGAGGAGGGAAUCAAAAAGUUGGAAAACCAAAAGGAAUAAUCAUCAAAUACAUAGUGCAAACGUAGUCAGGCGUUGUUUAAUUGGCUGCAGUUGAGUCAUUGUUUAAAGAAUGUCAAACGCUUAUCCAUCCGCUAUCGAGAUUAAAGCCCCGACCUUAAAAUGGCUUCAUGGGGCGCAAUCCAGAGACGCUCUCUUAUUAUUGUGAUAUCUUUCCCGUUUGGUCACCAAAGUAUCAAAAACCCUUUUUUUAGUAUAGGGGAAGGAUAAAUUAUCUCGGUAUAUACAGCAUGGGAAUGAAAUUAUGAGCAAGAAAGUUUGUUUUUUUAAUUCUAUUAGUUUUUCUGGAUCAAACUGGACAAAAACACACAAAAAAGUAUGGGUUAAAAACCGACCUUGAAAAGUAAAUCAGAGAUCGGUGAUCAUGUGACAUGCAAGAUAGGCACAACAAAUCGCACAACGCCAAAUCAAUUCUUCACACUAGUACAUUUAAAUUUUACCAAAGUUAGUCAUUAACAGCUUGGUGACAAAUGAACACGUACAACACUAAAAAAAAAUAACCCCCAUAAGAAAAUGUCAUGUGGAUCGGCAGAAAAAUAUCAUUUCAGUGAUGAGAUUAAUAGGACGGUUGAUUAGUUGCUGAGCCGUUGUUAUAUCUUUACCCAAUGACAUCAUAGAAUGCAAGUAGGUCCGAGCAAUCAGCAUCUCAUUUCCUGGGCCAAAUAUGCUUCGAUCCUCGGGUUAUGUGUAAAUAACCAUAGCUGUGUUCUUUCUUGUUUUAGUCGUUGGGGCUCUGGGAUUUCCUAGCUUGAAAAGGCGGACCAAUGCCCCUUCACUUUCACACUAAAGCUUGACACCAAAGAUUAAAAAUGGUUUGUUUGACAAAGGUCAAGUGAGUUGUGUAAAAAUGUUAUACACCUUGGGAAUUUCAAACCAUUAAUCGUCCAGAACACUUGAUUUCUCAUCAGUCUACAACAUAGUAUAAAUGUUGAAAAUUUAAUUUAUUGUUGUAUCUUCAGUUGUAGAUAAGAAGCUCUCAUUCUCAUAUAAGAAAGAAAAAACUCAACCACAAUUUAAUUUCUCAUAUAGCAAAGAUGGAAGCCACACACAGUCUAGAAAAACAAACUCAAACUUAUACGAUGAUGAUUCUUACAUAUAGCAAAUGUUGUUAUAAUUACAAUGGGGCAUUUUUGCCUAAUCAUAGGGAAUUUAGGCUUUCAAUCUGUACAAGCGAUAUAUUUGGAAGAAGUCAAAUUAAAUUUAAAAUUUUGGUGUGUAAAAAUGAAUGAUUUUAACCAGCUAAAAAGCUAGACUUGUAUGCAAGUGGAAAACAUAUUAGAAGAGUCUAAAAGAUCAUUUCCUCUAAAAACAUGCUUUACCCUUAAAAACAUACUUAGUCUAAAAAACAUGACUACCCUUAAAUCAUGCUUUACCAAGUUUGUGCCCUAAACACCACUGACCCCUUUAACUUAUUAUAAAACAAAAAUGUCACUCUUAUCUUAUUAUAUUUUUUAGGGAGACUUUGGAUGCGGUCCCUAGUUAUGAACAGUCUUUGACUGAAACCUUAUUGGUUUUCAAUUUUUGAUCCAAGUCCCUGAAAUUAAUUGAUAAUUUAUUUCUAUGUACGUUACUAUAUUUUUUAAAUUAAAAAUUAAAAUUUAUAGUUGUUUAUAGUAAUGAGAUUUUAAAUAAAAAACCAUAAUUUGUGGGAUUAAAAAUAUUAAAAUAUAAAUAUACUAUUGUGUGUGUGUGUGUGUGUAAACAUGGGUACAUUCAUAAAAAAUAACCAAAAAAUUAUUGUAUCAAAACAUGGGUACAUUCUUCAAAAUGGGUACAUUUAGCAAAAAUAAAAAUGGGUACAAAUAAAUAAAAAAAUAUGGGUACAAUACAAAUAAAACUUUAAAAAAUAUGGGCACAAAAAGAAAUUAAUAUAUGGGUACAAAUUAAAACUGAAAGGAAAAUUGGUACAAAUUAAAAAAGGGUUGCAAAUUAAAAAUGGGUACAAACUAAAAAUAAAAAUAUAUGAUAAAAAAUUUAGCCAUAAAUAUAAAUAUAAUAAUUGUAACAUUUUUAAUAUUAAAUGAAUAUAUUUAGAAAUAAAAAAUAUUUUAUUAUUGAAAUAAUUAAUGAUAUUAUUAAUACAAAGGACCUUGAUCAAAAAUUGAAAAGUAAUAAGGUUUUAAUCAAUAGAGUAGUAAAAAUAAGGAUGAAAACCUAAUUACUCCUAUUUUUUACAUUACAUUUGUACCAUAUGUUUAAUAAAGAUUAGAUCCAUAUGUGUUUGUAAAUUCUACUAAAUGAUACAAAUAUAUUAUAAAAAAAAUAUAAUAAGUGCAGUAUUACUCAAUUAAAAAAAAAAAUUAGGUUCACAUCCUUUUUUUUUUACUCCAUUGAUUAAAAUCCUAUUCAUUUUCAAUUCUUGAUCAAGGUCCUUGGGUAUUAAUAACAUCAUUAAUUAUUUGAAUAAUAAAAUAUUUUUAUUUUUAAAUAUAUUCCUUUAAUGUUAAAAAUGUUACAAUUAGUAUAUUUAUAUUUAUAUUUAUGGUUAAAAUUUUUAUCAUAUAUUUUUAUUUUUAGUUUGUACCUAUUGUUAAUUUGCAAAUAUUUUUUCAUUUGUACCAAUUUUCUUUUCAUUUUUAAUUUGUACCCAUAUAUUAGUUUCUUUUUGUGCCCAUAUUUUUUAAAGUUUUAUUUGUGUUUGUACCCAUGUGUAUACCGUCACGUGACAUUGUAUAUUUAAUCAAUGAUAGAAAAAUUACAAAUGGUAUAUUUAUGUUUUAUGCCUAAACUUUGUAUCAUAUAUUUAUAUUUUUAGUUUGUACCCACUUUUAAUUUGCAACAUUUUUUUAAAAUUUUUUAGUAUUUUCUUUUUUAGUUUUAUUUUGUACCCAUGUAUUAAUUUCUUUUAGUGCCUAUAUUUUUAAAAAUUCAUUUGUAUUCAUAAUUUUUAAUCUUUUAUCUGUACCCUAAUUUAUUUUUAAUAUACCCAUUCUUCUUUAUUAAUGUACCACUUUGUUAUAUGUGAAAUGUACCAAUUUUUUUAACACUAUGGAUACAUUCUUUUGCCUUUUAUUAUUUCUUAUUUUUACAUAGUUUUUAUCCAUUUAUUCAAUCAAAAUGUUUGAAUUUUUUUAUUGUAACCGUUUCUAAUAAUAUUAUAAUGAAGGAUUUUAAAUAUAUAGGAUUAUAAAUCUCAUAAAAUAUUAAACAAUUAAUGUUAAAACUAUAAAAAUAUAAAUAUUAAUUGUAAUAUAAUGAGGUGUACAAAGUCAAGGGACCUUGAUCAAACUUUGAAUACUAUUAAUAUUUUAAUCAAAGAAUGUUAAAGAUUAGAGACCGCAUCCAAAAUAUCCGAAAAAAAUGUCUCGUAUCACAUACCUAAUAAAUCUUCUAUUGAUAAGGAGAGAUCUCACACACAAGAAUAUUGUCCUUCCCAAUAGCAAGCGCUGCAAAAGCACCUCACUAUUAGACAGCACCAUAGAUAGAAGUAGAACUAUUGAGUCAUUUGACAUUAGUGUCUUAGCUAGAGAGAGAGAGAGAGAGAGAGAGAACAUCCCUCACAAUCUCACAGUCGCUCCCCCACUUCUCUGAAAAAUCUCAAGAGAGAUUCAUACAUUGACAGUUCAAACGCCUCUCUUCAAUGUUGUCAUCAACAGGUAGUGACCAAACCAACUACAUCACAACCGGUACUUCAUCCAGGUCGUCCUCCUCAUCCCCAUCACCAGUUUCACAACCCUCCUCCUUCCAAACCCCACAAAGAACCAUGGAAGAGGUUUGGAAAGACAUCAAUCUCGCCUCUCUCACUGAAUCCACCACCCAAAUCAGAUCCUCCUCCUCCUCCUCACCGCUCCUUCACGUUAACCUCCCAAAUGGGACCCACCGCCGCCACCCAAACUGCAGAAAUAUGACCCUUCAAGACUUCCUUGCCAGACCCUUUGCCCAUGACUCACCAGCUGCGGCCACCGCCUUGGUAUCCUCCGCUGUCAGCCCUCCCUCUCCUCUUCCUCCAUCCUCCCUCAGGCCUCCGAGGUCCGGCUUCAUUGAUCAUCAUCAGCUAAACCCUAAUAACCUUUCUAGCAGUGUUUCUAACUCUUUCAGUGGUUGCCCAUUUGAGAGCUUGGCUGCUUCCUCCUCCGGCUUGCCUUCUUUUGGGAAUAGAUCGUUCACUGAAUCUGAUCACAGCAAUUCCGGUGGAGAUGGAAGACACAAGCGGAUGAUCAAGAACCGAGAGUCUGCUGCUCGAUCUAGGGCAAGAAAGCAGGCAUGUACCUCUCCUAUAUUCUUCCUAAUAAUCCCAUUUUUGUCAUUUGAUUAGUCUUUUGCUUUUUGCUUUUGGGUUAGGGUAGUAGUGGGGUGGGUAAAGUGUUCUUUUAUGAGUUGUAGGUUUUUGUACAGUUCCGUUUUAAUUUUGCUCCUUCACUCUAAGGGCAGUUUAAGUAAGUGUAAGUAUUAUAUAUAAGAAUCAGUCAACCUGAGAUUGAUGCUUUAUAACAUUACUGCUGCACUAGUGUGAGUUUAAUAUAUUGGUAUCGCAUUCAAAAUUUCCAAUGUAUUGAAAAAGUUAUAUAUAUGAGUAACAUAUUGGUAUCAAACUCAAAUUUUCCGGCAUACUGAAAGACCUAAUUAGCUUUAUUGUCCUGCCUUGGCGUCUUAGUUUUAUUGUCGAGAAUGUUACUAAAAUUUUUACUAAAAAUGUCUUUCGUUUUUUGUUUGUGGCCUGAUAUUUGGUUGGUCCAAACAGGCUUACACAAAUGAGUUGGAGCUAAAAGUUGCACUCUUGAUGGAAGAGAAUGCAAGGCUCAAAAGACAGCAAGAACAUGUGAGAACAUAAGACUGAAUAAAAUUCUAUUUCUAAAACAGUAAUUAUACAUGUAUUUCUGUGAUUUUGACUUCUGUUUGUUUGGUGGGAAAAUGUAUAUGCAGUUAAUUGCAGCAGCGUCUCAACAACCCAAAAGGCACAAUCUCAAUCGAACAUCAACAGCUCCAUUUUGAGAAAUCUCAGUGCCUUGCUUUUUUGUUUGAAUGUCUUCCUUUUCAGUUAAGACUUAAGAAUAGUAGUACUAGUACCCAUGUUGGGGGCAUCAAUAUUUUGUGGUAAUAUGAAGAUGGUGCAUGUACCUUUUCCGUAAGUAGAUGUUUUAGGGUUAGAAUAUUCUAACGAUGACGUUUUUUGUAUUUAUGUUAAAAGAAGUAAUUCCCCAUUAAGGAACUUAAUUUGGUGUGUACUCUUUUGCUUGCUUGUUUGUCUCUAUCUUUUUCUUCCCUUUUUUUGGAUUGAAACUUUUUUGCUCUCAUUAACUACAUUCAAAUUACAAUACAAGUCAUGAGGUCACAAAGGAAUGAUUAGGAGACCUUUAAUGGACUCUUUGUUACACUGUGUUUUUGACAUAAUAUUUUAUAAUAUUGAAUCGAGAAUUAACGUUAAACUGUGAGGUGACAGAUUCUAUGGAGAGUUUUAAUUUGAGUCUCCUUUGUAUUUCUUUUUUUUUUUUUGAGAGAAACACUGUCAUGCAAGGGCACAACACCUUCCACCAUUGUAAUAAAGAGCCACUUGCUAGUAUUUCUCUUCUAGGUAAUGUUAGGAAGACUAAAAAUUUUAAAUCAAAUUUACAGACCAAAUAAAUUGGUUGUUGAUGAUUGAAUUAUUACUUAAGUAUUGAUUAAUGUGUUUAUCUUUUAUUGACAAAACGUCAUUUGGUUUAAAAGUUUGAUUUGUCUAGCAUUAUCCUUCUCUUAAUAAAUAAUAAAAAUUUGACCAUAAAUCUAUUGUCACCAUGUAAUUAAGAAAACGAUUCCCAUAAUAUUCAUGUAGAAACUACAAAUAAAGAACACAAAUAAAAGUUUCUGCAAACAUAUGAAACUGUAGUUUUAUACGUAAAGAACCAAGUAUUUCUUUCAUGGAAUUAUUGAAGUGUUUAUAUCUAGGAUAAGCACAAGAAGGACAAUUAACAGGGUGCCAAGAAUCCGAAACUAAUUUGGGCCAAUUGCUUUUUACAACUUAUCGCUUUACUUAAUCGGAAUCGGAUAUUGUCCUGAGUUUGGGCUUAACAUUCUCCUGAUUGACACACUUUGAAUUUUGAUUCAACGGUUAUAAUUAUUAUAAUUUUUAAAAUGCCUUCCUGUUUGUAACCGUUGAAUUCUUGUGUGUCGAUUAGGAGGUUCUUGAGCUGCUCAGGAGAGGAGAGGAUCCAGUUUCAUCUUAAUCAAAGCCUAUGAGGCGGUUAUACAAAUUCUUUGUUUCUCACAAGAAGGACAAUUAAUGGUGGCUGCCAUGGAUGUCCUAUGCUGUCGGUUUCUAUUGGCAUCCUUGGUCAUUGAGUUACUUUGCCAAGCUGACAUGAUCCAAUAGGAAUAUAGGAUGACAUAAAAGAGCAUCAUUGACAUUGACAUUGCCAUUGUGGCUAAGUAAAUAAUGGAAAUGGAUCCUCGCCGGAUUUUUUUUCUGGGAAUCAUAAGGAUUUCGUGAUCGUGAUCGUUCAUCGUACAUCAUAUGGUCAAUUUUCAUUAGGUACUAUUUAUAUUUAAUUUUAAAUUUUAAAAUAAUUUAUGACCGCACGAUAUAUGAUAAACAGUUAUAAUCACGGAAUCCUUAGGAUCCCCAAGAAAAGGAAUCGGCAAGAAUCCUUUUCUAUAAAUAAUCAUUCCUGUUUUUUUGACAAUCCAUAAAAUAAUUAUACUAAGUUCAUUUAAAUUAUGUAAAUAGAGAUUUGAACUUUAUCUAAAAUAUCUAAUUUAUGGAAAGAAAGAUUUCAACUUGAGUGCAUAUAAUGUAGAGCACAUCUAAUUUAACUAAACUCAAGUCUACUAUAAAUAAUCGUAUGUUUAGUUUAAGUUAUAUCCUUAUAAAAAUCAAAUUUGGAUUUUGAGUUUCUUGUGCAUUUGAGAAACCCUAACCCUUCUGACAAAGAGAAACCCAACACAUAUUUGACCCAAAUUUGAGAUUUGAGUCCUAGCAUGGAUUUGUUCACAAGUGUUUCUUUAAUGUCUCAAAAUUGUUAAUCAUAUACGCCUUAUACGGUCUAGCUAUGUUCGUCUCCCUAUCAAGUAUUUCUUUAGUAGUCAUCUUUUUCAUGGCAAUUCACUUUUUCGAAGACUGUGAAGACUCAAAAAGACAUUUCAAAUUCUCUUCUGACCACUAUCGUGUGAUUCACAAACUUUAUGAAUUAAAGUAAAAAGUUUAGGUGUAAAAGUUACACUAUUAUUAAUUCACGUGUUAUAAAUUGUAUACAGUUGAAUGACAUGUCAAGGACAGAACCCUCGAUUUUUCAAUUAAUAAAUACAACAUGGAUGCAUGAUGAUUACAUCAAGAAAUUCGUGAUGUUUGUUAAACUGUGUACUUAAAUGCAGUCAGUGAGUUUGUAUAAUUAGUGUGCGGAGACUUGUACAUCUGAUCCGUUGUCGUCCAGCGGUUAGGAUAUCUGGCUUUCACCCAGGAGACCCGGGUUCGAUUCCCGGCAACGGAAAUUUUUUAUAAUUAUGUUCAAUAUUUUUCUGGGCUUUAAUUUGGGCUUUGUCUUCUUUUCCACCAAUUCAUUUCUGGGCUCUAAUUGGGCUUCAGAUAAUUUCUGUUCCUUUUUGGCCCUGAAUGUUUGAUUUCAAUUUUUUUUAUUAAAAUGUGAUAUUCUAAAAAAUAAUAGUUGCUCUAAAUUAUGGAGAUGGCGAUUUGAAAUCGGGUGCAAGGAAGCAGGGACUCUUUUUUUUAAUUUUAUUUCAUUUUUGUUAUGUGCCAACAUGCUGUUACUGUUUCAUUUUAUAAAGCGAUAUUAUAAACUGUUCUAAUUUAUCGAGACGGAGAUUCAAACUCUAAUAGUACGAAGAUAGGAAUUCGAAGUUGAGUACAAGGACAUUGCUCUGACCAAGUAGCCUAAAAUGUUGUUGAUUUGCUUUUGGCUCUCUGUCUUUUUUUUCUCUCACAAGGAUUCGGUGAGGAAGUGAAUAUUGUUUCUGUUUCAACUUCCACACAACUUUUAGAACCCAGAACUAUGAAAAGAAGAAAAAUAUAACAUAAUCUCCUCAGUGAGCAACUCCACCACCUGAGACUUGUCAACUCCUCCCACCGGAAACCGGCACAGAGGGCACGUCAUCCGGCACGCAUCGAACCACUUAUCCACACAUACCUUGUGAAACUCGUGCAGGCAAGGAAGAACUCUCAUGUCCUCUUCACCUUCCGACAAUCUUGACAAACACACACAACACACCUCAUCGUCCCUCAAACUGGAAAAUUCUUGAGAAACAAGCAAUCCCUCUUCCUCUACUUUCUUCCCAACAUCUGAUUCGAUUGCCUCACGAGCACACGGAGAUCCCUUAACUAACGCCGGAUGCUCUCUCGGGCCGAAGAAACUAGAGAUCAAAGCGAAUGCCCUCUUGAGAACCAUUUGGUUUAGUGAAGGAUUGGCGUUUGGGGAGGUGUUUAAUAGAGUUUGAAGUUGAAGGGAGAGUGUGAGAGUGAUGGGUCCUCAGUUGUUUUGCGUGGGUUGCAAGGGUUGUUAUAGCAAGGAAAGAUUUCCCAAGUUCCUUCUCAAAGUCAGUUGCACCUAAAGAGAGUGUUACUCUUGACCUUUCUUUAAUUUGAUUAAUCACAAUUAGAGUAAUAAUUGGGUUUCCUUUCUCCAGCAUAUUGCUUCAAUUGUAUUGCUUUAUAGUCAAAAUGUUCUAUAAGAUUGACCUAAUUCCUUACUUUGGCACCUGAAGUUUAAAUCGAUAGAAGUGGUUUUGGAGAUUGUUCACCAUUAAUCAUUUUGGUCUUCCCAUAAAAAUCUAUUAAAUUGAGGAUAUUUUUGUCAAAUCAACCUCUCCACUUUGUGGUUUCUUCAAUUUAAAGGAGAUUUUUCACAUAAGGACCAAAUGAUCAUGGACCAUUUCUGUUGAUUUCAAAUAUCAAGACCAAAGUGAGGAGUUAUGACAAUCUCAGAGACCAUUUUGGCUAAUAAGCCUUUUCUAUUGGUGUACAAGACCAGUUAUUGGUCACUGUUCGAUUCUUUUCACGUAAGAAGAAAUUUCUCCUUAUACGCGAAUCAUUGCACAACAAAUAUUAAAAAAUAACUCGUUAAAAUUAUAAAAGAUUUAUGCACGCCCGUCAUAUUGUGAUUUGUCUGUAAAGAAGAACUAUUCCUUUCACUUCUUCACUUUCUGUGACCCAUGAAAUGCCUGGGUCAAGCUACUUGCUGGUAGAAGGUGAAUUAAUGUCAAAACUUUGUGAAACUUAGAUAUCAAAAUACACCAUGGAUGACAUUCAUAGGGGACCUAACUCAUACCAGACUACUCGAUCAAGCGGUAACUUAAUCGACAAAAAUAAGGUAAAGCGGUAACUUUCACCGCCGCACAGUUUGAAGCAUGAUGUGUUUUUGCACAAACAUAGUAGAACGAGAUUGGCAUUACCAAGAGAAGCAUUUGGUAAGGCUUCAAAAUCCGGUGAGGGCCGUGACAGCGACCGUGAAGCAAGAAAACCAAACACAGCUCAGAAAAUGCGAGACCGGGAAUGUUCAAUGAAAAGCAAAAGCCAUCCAAAACCAUCUUAGACAAGAGAAACAACCUUUUCUCCAUUUAACAACGGCUUGAUGACAGGAAAAAAUGCACGCCAGACAUCGUUGUAACUUGUAAAAGUAUACGUCUGCAAAUGGAAGCGAUGAAUGAAUUUAUUCACCUCAACAGUAAAAUUUACGACAACUCUCAGUACAAUUGUUCAUCUCGGAAUAAAUGUCAGACAACUUCCCUAGCCGAGUUCAUCUCAGAUAAUGAAGCACAUAAUGAUUUGAACGGUACUGAGUAACAAGUCAUACAUGAAUUCUCAGGCAUUUCCUCACAAAUGGAUAAAAAUUGAAAUGCCGAUUUAAGAAUACUUGGUGAUGUGACCUUCCAUCUACCAAAAGCACGAAUAAAUCGGUUCAACAAAUGGCUUAAAAGAGAUUGUCAAGAGGAGGCAACCUACCAAAAAAAAUCGCAAUAAACCCCGCAACAGUGACUCGGGAACAAUACCACAAGUUUCACAAUUUGACCUAGCGACUGCCUAUUCAAUCCGCUUCGUGCUUGUCCGACGAUUCUGCAGAAUCUUCAGGUUUAACUGUAUCAUCCACCUCGAGUGUCUUGCCAUCUGUUGGUACUAAGCUCGGUAUGCCAUCCUUUAUCUAUCAAGUGAUGAAUACAAUAAGGAACCAUGUUAGACGUCAGCUAUACAGGACAAGAUAGAGUUUCACACAAUCAUUCACGUUCAGCUGAAUACAACCGUUAGACAAUGGCGAUGGCAUCACCAUUCAUUUAUCACACAGAGACCGGAGUGAUCUUUUAUUUUUCAAAUCAUUUCCAUGUUGGAUAAACUGAACAGGAAAAACCAAAUAUACAGAACAUCCUGCUGCCCAGGUAAUUCAUACUUCAGAAGAAGAAAAAACUAGCAACAACAACAACAAAACCUUAUCUCACUGAUUGGGGUCGGCUGUAUAAAUCUUAGAAUGGCACUGCGCUCAGUUUUGCGCCAAGUCUUCCGUUAGCUCCAAAUACACCAUGUCUUUUCUUAAAUCUCUUUUGAAACUAGAUUACGCAAAAUUGUAGCUAGGAUUUUUAACAUUCCCCAUGGAUUCCAUACACUUCAAAACUGAAGUAGAAGGAAUUAUACAAGAUACUAGCUAUACAGGCAAAAACAUAUAAAGAAGAUGAAAUUUUUGACAAUCGUUCAUGUUCUCGCUCUUCCACACGGGACUCCCGGAUUACUAUAACCGAAUUUCGUCUCUGUUCGGCCAGAAGGUCUCACACUUGUUCAAGUUUAUACUAUAACACUCAUCAGUAAAAUCUUAGCUCGAGCCUACCUCCGCACACCUCCGAGCCCAACACAAAACCUCUAUAAUAUACAAAGGGCAUCACAAAUUCUCACACAGAUAAUGGGGUAAAUCUCAUUUUUAAAAUUUUAACCAAUUCCAAACCAUUGAUGGUGUCCAAACCGUGUCUCAGGCGUGUCUGUGUGUCUGACACUCCGACAAAUCAGGGUUUUCAAGUGUCCAUGCAACAUAGCGUAUAUAUAAUAUGUUCUACCUAGAAAUUGAAAAUUCAGAGAAAAAUAGAAUUACCAAAAAAUUAAUUACUUGCCGCAUAAAACUUAGGAGUUUGGAACUCACAGAAAAGGAGACACCAAUCGCAUCACUAAUUAAGGAAUUUGUUUCCUCACAAAACCUAUAAACCCAAAAGCAAACUAAUUAAACCAACUAAAAUUACCAAAAAUUAAAUAAAUAAAACGGAGAUUAAAAAUAAUACUUAGAGAUUAAAGAAGAAACCUUAUAAAAUUGAGUAGCUUUACGCUUCCUCUCACCACUUCAUCUCUCUCUCUGUUUGGAUCUCUCUCGCGCUAUAAAAACGCCACCCCUUGUUGCUACGUCACCGUUUUAUAAAAUUGAGAACGAACAAUUGCAUAAAACCACCGCGUUUCGGUUCGAAUAAAUCUCAUUGCCUCCAAAAGAAGCUCUACGGAGCUACUGCACUUCAAACUACCAAGAGGGAUCUCAAUGUGCGUUAAUGGCGAAAACCAACUGGACCUCGAAUUCGGAACGAUUCGUUUGGUAGAUAUCUCGACUGAAUGGCAAGGGUUUGCACCCGAGAACUCUUUCGAUUCCGGAGCUCUAUUUCCCCACACCUCGCUUCCAACCCAUCAAAAUCCAAUCUUCCCUUACCAUCCUCCCCAUUUUCCUCCUCUUCGUUCGAGCCCUCUGUCAACCGCCACAUAUUUUCGCUUCUGGAUUCAUGUCAGAGCUUGAUCCAGAUUACCAAACUCCACGCCCAUUUGGUCACCCAGGGCCUUUUCGAUUCGUUUUGGGCCCGGAAUUUACUCAAGAGCUAUUACGAUUUCGGUGAUUUCGAUUAUAUUAUAUGGGUUUUCGGAUACAUUGACGCUCCAGGUAGAUUUUGCGUUAAUACAGUUAAUACGGCCGAGAUCUUCCCCCUCUUCCUCACCCUCAAUCCGGAAUCUUCCCCUUGAUCACGUCUGCAAGACAACUGUGGCAUGUUAGGCCACGUCCAGGUUGGGGGUGGGCAAAAGAUGAUGUUCGAACUUGGAAAAUCUGCUAGCUGCGAGACACGGCCAGAAUCCAAGCUGUACACUGCAAUAUCGCUUAACAUGCUUCUUAACUGAUGGAACUCGUAACUCUUGCUAUGAAGAGCCUCGUGAAAAUAAAUACAUCUCCCUUCCACUCCAGGGAAAUCUUGAGUAGAAAGAGAGUAGUAACCAUCAUCCCCUAUCACCAAUAUUCGAUCAUCCAGAGCUUGCGCCUCUAGCUUAACCCAGUGCUUCUCAUGAGCGUGAGCGUCCUGUAAGUUCUGAUAAGAGCUAUACACUUGGUUAGCACUUGUUAUUCACGUGGGAAUAUUCGAGAUCAUCAUUGACAAUGUUUGUGAGCUGAUAAGGAAUAUGUAUAUUAGGAUUCAUUAGCUUGAACACUCAUGAUAUUACUAGAAGUCUUUCUAGCUGAUAUGAAUAAGGGAAUUCAUGGUGAUAAGGUUAAGAUCAAUCAGGAUUACUCAAUGUGAAGAGUCCUAGUUCAUUACCACUGUGUAUGAUAUAUAUAUUAGGGUCCCUGCAUUCUCUCUAAACACUCAAGCUUACAGAAACUUAAACCCCAUUCUUGAGGCCUUGCAUACUAAAGAGGAGAGCUGUAGAAGAACUCUAAUCCCAAUGAGCAUGUCACUGUCUUCAGGUAAGUGGUUAACUUGGUAUUGUGAUAUAAUAUUCAGAGUUCAUAAUCAUAUUCAAUAUAUGUUUUACAUUUGGUAUCAGAGCUUUCACAUACCAACUAACCCUAAGGAAGAAAGUAUAAGGAAUUGUGUGAAUUUUCAGAUUAAGGUCUAAUGGUAUACUAUACAGGAAAUACAUAUAUUCGAACAUGGUAGCUAAAGCUAUUUGUACCAUGUAUGUUUUUUAUACAGCAUACGAAUUAGUAUUGACACCAUGGAUCAAAAUAUAAUCACUGAUCAUCUAAAGAUGUUUUAGUUGUUUAUGUAUUGAUUUCAUAGUGGUAUGAUAGUUCAUAUACCAAUAUACAAACCCAAUCACUUCUUGCAGCCACAAAGGUUUGUAAUUAUGGUUAUAGAAAAUCGUAUGUUGGAUGUGAAAGUGUCAUGAUCAAGAAAAUUUUCAUACAACUUUUAAUCCGAAGGUUCUUGAGUUUGUGAUAUAAAGUUUGAGGAUUAAAGUUUAAUAUAGUUCAUGUUACAUGAUUGUAUAGCCAUGAACCCUAACUCCAUGAACUUGAAUACUGUUGAACCACUCAUUGGGGUCAAAUAUAAGAAAUGGAAACAAGACUUGAGAUAGUUUUGGGUGUUAUGGAUAUGGACCUGACACUAAGAACUAAGGAACCCCCACUGCCUACCGAUGGAAACACUUCUAGUCAAAGAUCGAAAUAUGAGAAGUGGGAGAAAUCCAACAGAAUCUCACUGAUGAUAAUCAAGAGAACCAUGACAUAUGAUGUUCGUGGAGGUUUUCCAAAGGGAACCAACGCCAAGAAGUUUAUGGAAUCCAUUGAAGAAAAGGACAAAGAAUCCGAGAAGACAGAAACAUGCAAUCUAAUGAAUUCACUCACUAAAAUAAGGUAUGACGGUGAAGGGAGUGUGCAUGAAUAUAUCCUCAGAGUGAUCGAUAUUGCUGGAAAACUCAAGAACCUAGAGGUACCAAUUUCUGAAACCUUCCUUGUUCAUGUCAUCAUGAACUUGCAGCCAGAUUCCUACUCAAUUGAAGGUAUCUUACAAUGCUUUGCAAUCUAAGUGGGAUGGGCUUGGAUUGUAGUUUCUUCUUCUCCAUGUUGCUCAGGUUCUACCAUUGUCAAAUCUUGAUUAAUAACUUCAUUUGCAGUUGUGGGCCCUUCCACUUCAUCAAUUUGCCUUUGUUGCAAGUCAUUUGUAGCUUCUUCGACAUCUUUAUUUGCAUGCCCAGGUAUCUCAAUAUAAGGCAUUGGAGCUGACGUUGCAAUUGCAUGUUCCACUUCAUUCUCUUCUUCAAAGAUAAAAUCAUCAUCAUUAUUCCCACUAUCUUGUUCCAAGUUAUUCUCUAUGAACACAGCUUUCCUUGUUUCUACAAUUCUAGUAUCCUGAUUGUUAGGGCAAUAAAAUCUGAACCUUGUUUAUCUGUCUGCUUAACCAAUGAAAAAAUAAAUGAUAGUUUUAGGAUCAAGUUUUCUUCCAUUGGGAUUAUAUGCCUUGGCUUCAGCCGCACACCCCCAAAUGUGUAAAUGGUUUAGGCUAGGUGUUCUAGUAGUCCACAAUUCAAAUGGUGUAGACUCAACAACUUUUGAAGGGACUCUAUUAAGCAAAUAAUUGGCAGUUUUCACUGCCGCUCCCCACAAAGUCUUAGGCAAAUUCACCCUACAAAUCAUACUUCUCACCAUGUCUAUUAGGGUUCUAUUUCUCCUCUCUGCAACCCCAUUUUGCUCGGGUGUGCCUGGGGUGGUAUAUUGAGCUACGAUUCCAUGUUCUUGAAAAUAUAAAGCAAAGGAUCCAGGAUGUCUACCAGUUUGUGCAUAUCUUUCAUAAUAUUCCCCACCUUUAUUAGACCUAACAAUCUUAAUUUUUCUUUCCAGUUGAUUUCCCACUUCCUUUUUGUGAAUUUUGAAAACUUCUAAAGCUUUAGAUUUUUCAGAAAUUAAGGUAUAGGUAACAAUAUCUUGAAAAAUCAUCAAUAAAGGUUAUAAAAUACUUGUAUCCUUCAAUUGUUUGUGUAGGGAAAGGACCACAAAUGUCUGUAUGGAUUGUUUCCUUAACCCAGUGCUUCUCAUGAGCGUGAGCAUCCUGUAAGUUUUGAUAAGAGCUAUACACUUGGUUAGCACUUGUUAUUCACAUGGGAAUAUUUGAGAUCAUCAUUGACAAUGUUUGUGAGCUGAUAAGGAACAUGUAUAUUGGGAUUCAUUAGCUUGAACACUCAUGAUAUUACUAGAAGAUCUUUCUAGCAGAUAUGAAUAUGGGAAUUCAUGGUGAUGAGGUUAAGAUCAAUCAGGAUUACUCAAUGGGAAGAGUCCUAGUUCAUUACCAUUGUGUAUGGUAUAUAUAUUAGGGUCCCUGCACUCUCUCUAAACACACAAGCUUAUAGAAACUCAAACCCCAUUCUUGAGGCCUUGCAUACUGAAGAGGAGAGUUGCAUAAGAACUCUAAUCCCAACUAGCAUGUCAUCGUCUUCAGGUAAGUGGUUAACUUGGUAUUGUGAUAUAAUAUUCAGAGUUCAUAAUCAUAUUCAAUAUAUGUUUUACACGUCCAGCUUAAAAAUCUCGAAUGUAAAGUCUGACGGUUUUCCCUUCAAAUACAUAUCAACUAAAAACAGCUCUCCCAACGACUCCACCAACUUCUUCUUCUUCUUGUCGUCAAGGCAAGAGAUAUUUGGUAAUGGAGAUGCAAUCAUUUCCGUAUUCAAACAAGAAUCAACUGCCACCGCUUUCCCGUCACGGCACACAGCACAAAACCUUACUUUGUAGAAAAUGACAUCUUGAAAAUCACGGUAUUCGUCAUCCAACUUCAAAAGGAAGUUGGUGCAGUCUACAACGUCAGCUCCUAGCUCUCCGCAACAUAACGUUUCGAACAGAUCAAUUGCCAUGAAAGCAGGGAAAUCGAGAUUCAAGGAUGCAGCCACCUUAAAAUCACGACGCAUCUCCCCACCAUAGUCUACAUUCUUGCCACUUCAAAUACCCGAAAUUCCAAUAAGUUGAAUUGUAAGAGUAAACACAGGUUUUAUUUUAAUAUACUAGCCAAGUACACAAGAAUUAACCUACUAAAUCACAACCGUUGCUUCAAGUAUGUUCUAUAAAUACAAAUACUGAAGUAUUCUCAACAAUACAUACCUGCAGACAUGUUCAUGGAUGAAGAAGCCAUGGACGAAUCUACACACAACCUUCACCUCUCUGCAAACUCAAUGCUCUCCAAGUUAUAGGUAAUUGGAACAAUAAUAGCGUAAUCUUUGUGAGAGCAAAGGCUUGUGGUUUUAUACUACAAGACCUGCCCUAUAACAAUCCUACAAGGAAUACAAGACUAAAUCCUUGUACAAGUAUGAGUUCUAUUCUCGAGCCAACAAUAGAGUUUCCAUAAAAACUAAAGUUGAAUUAACUUUUAUAAACACAUUAAGACUUCUUUAUACCAAUCUGAAAUAACAAGGAUUAUUUACUAAACUGUGUGAAUCACACUCAUACUCUAACAUUCUCCCACUUGAGUAUGAUUCACUACAAUAAAUAAUCAUCUUAGAUUAAUAUAAAGGUGAUCACACAAGUCUUAUAUCAAUGUUCCUCAAUAUAAACACAACACUGCUUUCAUGUCUCAAAAAAAUGAAUUCACAAUCUUCUCUGCAAUACAAUGUGCAGAAUCAUCUUAUAAAUCACAAAGUUAUUCAUGUUCGCAGCAAUGUGACACAGUUCAUGAGCAAACUAAAAGUUUACUCACACUCAUAUUGCCAAAAUACAACAAAGUUCAUAGUUAUUCUUUAACCAAUAUGAAUAACUAAAUAUAAUUCAUCCAAUAGCUUUAUCAAAAUUCGAAAAUAUUGACUCAAGAGCUUAUAUUGAAUUAUCAAAAUGUUUUCUUUGAACAACUAAUCACAGAUUUAUUUGGAAAGGUUGAACUAAAUGAAAACCUUAUUCCACAGCUAUCUUCAAGAAGUGUGAUAGGCUCUCAAGAAUAACUUCAACUACUCCCACUUAUCAAAAGCAUCCAAAUGAAUUUAAUGGCCGGCUUAAAUACUCUUAGCCUUAUACUUACAUUCAAAUAUAUGAUUAUUUCUCCCACUUAAGCAUAAGUAGAAAGUACUACACAACCAAUAAAGAAACCAGAGAUAUGAGCCAAUUGUUUCCUGAUUCCUCACCAAUUGCAUAAUCUCAGUUUAAUCAUGUACACCUAAACCAUUAUGCAAACAGUUAUGUAUCAAAAGAUAGUCUCAAUCCAUUCGGAAAAACUUAUCUCACAUAAACCCAAAAUCACAAGUUUCAACAAUGGUCAAAAUCAGAAUAGCAAGCACAAUAUUUUUACAUUCGAUUUUAUCCAAACUAAUUCAAUAUCCAUCGAGCAAGAUCAACUAAAAUUUGAUAAUGUCUGGACAUAAAAGCACAAGUCAUCUAAAUUAAAACGAGAUAAUCAAGAUCUCAAUAUGAUUUACAUGUAAUAAUUCUUUAACGAGAUUGACAUGUAUCAUAAUUCAAUCUAGUCCAGAAAUAAAUUGAAAAAAAAUACUAAAUGACGCUUCAAAAUCUCAAACAAUUCCAUUCAAUAGAAAACCCAUAAUUUGUCAAAAUUACAAAAUUAGUAUCUUAGGAACUUUGAGAUCGCAUCAGAUGUGAAUAAAAGGAUACAUACCAAUUAAACAACAAAUUUUCAUUAAAAGCAGCAGAAGCAAACGAGAAACGAAAAUUCCAGACCAAAUCUUGUGAAUUAUUAUCAAGUGAGAUGAGUUCCACUAUCAUAGCGAAAUAGAAUGCAUUCUUGCCGACAGGGCUUCACCAAACAAUUUAUAUUAUUCCAUACAAGGUAUAAAUACAAGAGCUUUCACAUGUUUUCGAUUAUACACUGUGAAUGAUAUAAUAUGCCAACCACAAAUCAUGUGCCCAAAAUAAUGCAUAAGUCGCGUACUCUAAAAAUGCAUAUAUAUAUAUACAGGGAACUAUUAAUAGCACUAAAAAAAUCUCAUUUUACACUCCUCACAAGUGUAUUUUUCUUUCUAAUUAUAGAAAGUUUGGAGUGCCAAAUGAGAUUGGCACUCCAAACUUUCUAUAAUUAGAAAGAAAAAUAAUAAUGAGAAGGAAAUCACGACUAUUCGAAAAGCUCAACUUUAUAGCCGCAAAAAUUCACUUGUGACAAACAAUAAAACAUACCAUAAUUUUAUGAGAACUUUCAUGAAAAGGGUUUGGACUAAGUUUAUCUUAAUAAAAAAAAUCAUGAUAUAACUUUAUUUAAUAAAAAAGACUUAAAUUUUAAUGAAAAACUUUUAAAUUUUAAUAAAAAUGACAAAAAAAACUUAAAUUUAAUGAAAAAGACCUAAUUUAAUAUUUAAAAAAAAACUGACGCGUGGACCUGCACACCCCUCACAGAAACUAUUUAUGAAACUUACUACACUGUUUAUGAAACUUAAUGGUACGACACUGUUUAUGAAACUUAACGAUGUUACACUGUUUAUGAAACUUAAUGAUAGAUGCUCGUCCCAAAUUUUCAAGUUCUUUCAUCAGAAUGCAAUAAAAAGAUUUAAAAAAAAAAAACACGAUAGAGAUCAACAUCUAUGCCGUUAAAGUCAUGCAUGGCUAAUAGUUCAAUACAAUUACUAGAAAAAUGGGUGAUGACUUCAACGAUGUUAUCAAUGAUGUUGCCCCACCCCUACCCCUAACCAUCCCAACCCACACAUGAUCGACUCCCUCCCAACCAUACUACCCUAGAUGUGGUUAUAAAUCGAACGUAACCCACUUCAAUUUGAAAUUUUAAUUUUAGAGCAAUAAAAUAUGGGGUUAAUCUCUGUUUACUACCCUAAAGUUUCGUGGUUUUCAACAUUUGGUACAUGAAGUUUUUUUCAUCCUAGAGUCAUACCUCAAGUCUUAAUUUGGGACAGUUUCAUACUUAUGUUAAUCAAACUGUUAAGUCUGCCGUUAACUGAUGACAUGGCACCCAUGUGGACAAUGACUGAGCGCCACAUGCCAUCCAUGUGGAAAUUAAAAAUAAAUUAUUUAUAAAAUAAAAUAAAAUAAUUAAUUUAUUAAAAAAAAAAACCCUUCUUCCCCAAAUCCCACCCGUGCCCACCCUCCCACCCACCCCUUCAUCUUCCCCAAACCCCACCUGUGCCCACCCUCCCUUCUCUUCCUCCGCACCCAGUGCUAUCCCUCCCUCUUCGACUUUGCACAUCCACCCUCUUCCUCUUCCUCCUCCCUCCUGCGCACCCAAUGCUUCCCCUCCCCCUUCGACUCCUGCACUUCCACUAUCUUCUCACCAUCACAAAACUAUAAAAAAAACCACAUCCCAAACCAUCAAAAAUUAGAAACCCACGAAAUUCAACAUCAUCAAAUUCAAAAAUUGAAAACCGAUGGUGAAAAAUCUGGUGUGGGUCAACCCAGAUCUGGGUUUGGUGUUGGAUCGCAAUGGGUUCACUCCCCUGCAUCUGGGUGUGAUCAAGGAGUGAGCUGCAGUUGUGGCCGAGUCAGAUCGACGGCGACUCAGAUUUUGACUUAGGGAGGCGAGGGUGGGUUGCACUUGUGUGUGAAGCAUCACAGGCUGAAGGUGUUAAAGGUUUUGGUGGAAUGUACAGAGAUAGGAAAUUGAAGAUGGGUGUGCGGAGUGGGUGUGCAGAGGAGAGAAAGGGAGGGAGGGGAUUGGGGGUUGAGGUAGGAGUGGUGCGAGAGAAAGAGUGUUGGAGGGUGGGAGAAGGGGUGGAUGUGCAGAGUCGAAGAGGGAGGGAGAGCACUGGGUGCAGAGGAAGAGAAGGGAGGGUGGGCACAUGUAGGAUUUAGGGAAGAAGGGUUUUUUUUUAAUUUUAUUUAAAUACAUAAAUUAUUUUUAAUUUCCAUGUGGAUGACACUGACACCCAAUCAUUGUCCACAUGGGCGCCACAUCAUCAGUUAACGGCAGACUUAACAGUUUGACUAAUAUAGGUAUAAACUGUCCCAAAUUUAAGAUUUGAGGUAUGAUUCUGGGAUGAAAAAAACUUCAUGUACCAAAUGUUGAAAACCAUGAAACUUUAGGGUAGCAAACAAAUAUUAACCCUAAAAUAUGCUUGGAUUAUGCAACUGAAGGAUUGGUUGGAUGCUCUUUGCACGCGCCUUUAGUUAGGUUUUUUUUUUCUUUCUCUUGUCUUUAUCAUUAAAUAAAGUUAUAUGAUGAUUUUUGGUUAAAACUCAAAGUUUUGAAACUAUUUUCAUUAGUUUUCUUAAAUAAUUAAUCUUUGGAUUUAUCUUGAUUGAUUAAUCAAAUAUAAUAGUUAAAUACUUUACGAUAUUAUGAAGAUAUUUGAGAAGAGAAAUACUAAAUAAACUUUCUUAAAAGUGAGACCCUCUGUAGACUCUAUGCACUUCAUGUUUGUCUGCACAAUAUUUUAUAAUAUUAGCAUGAAAAAUUAACGUUAACUUAAGUGAUAGAGAGUCCAUGAAGAGUUUCACUUUGAAAAAAGUCUCCUUAACUUCUCAUAUAAGAAUAUGGAAUGAACUUGGUCAAAUAAGACUGAACUUCUUGUUUAAUAAAUAAAUAGACACUCGUUUAGACAUGGCCUGACAUGCCAGAGUUGUCUUGCUGAUUUUCCGAGUUCGAACAUCAUCUUUUGCCCACCCCCAACCUGGACGUGGCCUAACAUGCAUGCCAGAGUUGUCUUGCAGAACUGAUCAAGGGGAAGAUUCCGGAUUGAGGGCGAGGAAGAGGAGGAAGAUCAUGGCCGUCGUGAGAUGCAGCAAUGGGCAUUGAACUUAGUUCUCGCGAUCGGUGGUGUCUCUUUUACAUACUAUGUAUUCUGUUGUAGCUGGAUUGAUCUCAGACUCGAUGACUUCUUAUUUGAACUUUGUAGCAGUUUUUGCAAAUUAUACAUUUCACUGUCUUGCGUUUUCCGUUUCCGAGUUGGAGUCUAUGACGAUCGAUUACCGAAAAAUAUGAAGAAAAACGAACUAGAAAUUGAGAUCUCAGCAGAGAAAAGGUUGCUGCUACUGCAUAAUAAUUUCAUUAAUUCAUUUCAUCGCAUUACACCUCACAAAUAUAAGACACAGCCGUUGCAAACAUCUAAUGAGAAUUGGAAUUAACCGACUCCUUUAUUUUUGUAUCUCAUCUUGUGAGGAUAAAUUUUUUAUUGUGCACACGUGUCAUUAUAUAGAGGAAAAUUUUAUUUUUCAAGUUAUUAAUUUCUUAAUACAAGUAUCUCACUAUUUGUAUAGUAACAUAUGGCAUACCAUUCCAUGUUCAGAGACACUGAAAAAUCUCUCGAAGUAAACGAAUCCUCUUGAGAAUUUGAAACAUUUCAUUUUUGUAGAUAAUUAAUCAAUUAUAAAACUUCAUUUUAAUCCUUGUAAAAGUUAAGGAGUACAAUUACAAUUUAUGUCUAACUAAUUUUCUAUUUGUCUAACAUGGUGAUGAUGAAGAUACCAUCAAAUUAAACCACGUUUUGUUGCCCGCAUAAUGUGACAGUUGAUGAUUGAAAGAUAAAUUUCCAAACAACUCCUGCAUGGCACUCAGAAUCAGAGAGGGGCAACAUUACUCCAGUUGAAACUGAUAGUUUGAUGAUACAGAAAGGUGAACAUCUUUCGGGUACCCUUUGUAAGGAUACUCUUGGGAUGUCCACGCAUGGUCCAACACAUGUGAUAUGGUAUGCAAUUUGCCGCUCUUCAAUUAACUCAUGCACCCUACCAUCAAAGUAAAAUAGUCAAGUUGUACUGUUAUUGAUUGAUUUUAUUUCGUUUUGCAGGAAAGAAUGUGGUCCAGAUGCAGCCUGCAAAUUUUUGGGCAAUGCCCAGUUACUUGUGCACUAUUGGUUUUUGCAUAAUGCCUAUUCGAUUGGAAUUGGAGAUACGAUUGUUGAUCCGGCAACAACGGAAAAAAUCAAGCAGACAAUUUCUGAGGCAAAAGAUGAGUUGGGAGGGCUUAUUAGUAUAAUAGCCCGGUCCAAGCAGCUGGAGGCUGAACCUGGACGAACUUUGGUGGACUCAUUUGAAAACAAAGUGAACCAGGUGCGUUAAUUGAUUGUCUACAAUUUAUUCUUGUUUAGCUUCCAACUGUUAGUAAUGUGUCCAUUUAGUUAGCUUUGCUGUUAGGAGUCUGUUAAUUUUGUUACAGAGAAGAUGUUAGUAUAAAUAUCAAACAAAAGUGCAACUAUUGAUCAAUCAAUGAAAAUUGAAUUUCAGUUUUCGUCUCUCUCUAGAUUUUUCAAUAACCAAACACCAUUGUUUCUUUAAAUUUCAUCAUCUACUUAUGUAUUUGAUUUGGGUCAGGUGUUGAAUAGGGCUCGUGAUAAUGAUAAAGUUGGAAGUAGUGCUGAAAAGAGUCUAUCCGAGAUGAACAAUCUUAAGGCCAUGGUUACAACUGGAUCCAAAGAGAAUUUUAUAAAAAUGUCACAGAUGAUUGCUUGUGUAGGGCACCAGAACAUUGAAGGUAAGAGAACCAUGUAUGGGUUGAUAAACCACCUGCCAUUGCCCCACUUUACUGAAGAUGACUAUGGACCAGAAUGUCGUGGGUUCGUAAAGAAUUCAUACUUGCACGGUCAAACUCCAUAGGAGUUUUUUUUUUCAUGCCAUGGAUAGUAGGGAAGGUCUCAUAGAUAUUGUAGUUAAAACAUAUGAGACUGGGUACAUCCAAAGGAGACUGGUGCAUGCUUUGGAGGACAUUAUGGUGUAGUACGUAAUUCUUUGGGCAAUGUCAUUUAGUUUGUAUAUGGAAAAGAUGGGAUGGAUGCUGCUUGGUUAGAAUCUCAAAAGUUGGACAUUUUAAAAAUGAAAAAAAUAAGAAUUUGAAAAGACUUUUGCAUAUGAUUUGGAAGAUGAAGAUUGGAAUCCCGAUUACAUGCUGCGUGAACAUACGUAGGAUCUCAGAACUAUUAGAGAGUGUUGCGAUGCAGAAGUUAAAAGACAGAUCACAACUUGGCAGAGAGAUUGGAGGCACAUAUGGUAAUUCCUGGCUGCUUUCUGUUAACUUGAAGAGGCUUAUUUGGAACACCUAAAAAACCUUUAAGAUUGGCUUCAGAUAUGCACCUGAAGGAAAGUGUGGAAGCUAUUGAUAAGCUGCAAGGGAGGCUGAAGGUUGUUUCUUGCGAUGACACGCUCAGAAUAAUGCUACACUGUUUUUCAGCAUUUUCCUUUGUAACACCUUGGCUAGCAAAAGGGUGUUGGAUAAGUAUCAGCUGACACGUGAAGCAUUGUGGGUUAUUAAUCAGAUAGAGUUUUGCUUCCGGCAGUCACUUGUAGAACCAAGGAAAAUGGUCGGACUAGCUACUACACAAUCUAUUGGUAAGUCUUCCACUUGUAUGGAACUCAGUACUUUCCACUCUACUAGGGCGAUUGAAGUUUCUAGGCAGCUCAUCGGUUAAUGCUGGAUGCAGGGUAUGCUUUCUUAUGAUGGGUUGAAGGUGAGUUAUAGACACUUGGCCAUCCUUUGUGACGCGAUGACAUGGAGUGGCUUCAUAAGACCUAUCGGCAAGGAAGACAAGAGACGGCCUCCUCUUGUACGAUUGUUUGUGGAGUACACGAUAGAUAAUGUCAUCCACACUGCGGCAUAUGCAAAGACAUAUUACAUAAGAGGUGUAAGGGAAAGCAUAACGUUAAGGGCAUCUUGCUCCCACUCCCAGGUGAUUUUCCUUUUUUUUUUAAGCCGCAACUUGUUGCUCUUACCAACUGAUUUGGUUAUUGAUAUUGAAUUAUUGUGUGUAUUCUACUUCUAUUGCAAGUUUGUCAUGUUGUGCUUGAACUGAAGUUAGAUAAAAUAGUGUAUCCUUUAUAGACGUUUACUUGUUCAAGUUGAGAUUAAGUUUGUGCUAGUAAGGGAAUGUGCCUCUUUCUGUAGCAUCUACGUUGGUGUAAAUUGCCCAAGCUUUUGCAGAAACUAGAGUAAUUUGAUAUGUUGGUUUUCAUUGUUUCGGUGGGUGGCUAAUUGCCCAAGGCUUACAUUGACUAUGUGUCUCUAAUAAGGUGCUAUUGGUAAUGACAAGCUGCAAACUGAACAUCAGUAGGCUUCUGGACCUGACAUGCGAGACUUUGGCAGAUAUGAUCACGAGCAAGACACCGGAUAUCAGAAAGACCUUCAACGAUCAACAUCAAGAACGACUACUUCACCCCAAAGGAAGAGGAGGCAGAUCGUCGGGGAACCAAUGAAGUGGGAGUUUGUUUGAAUGAACUUCUCAAGGAUGCGUUUAUCGGAGUCGUCAAGUCUGUCAUGUUUACUAUUUCUGAAUCAAAUAUUAUGCUUCGAUUAAUUCAAGAGCUCAACCACCUCAAUUCAAUCAGUACAUGUUUAUAGCUACAACAACAACAAAGCAUUUUCCCACUAAGUGGGGUUAAAUGUUUAUAGCUAAAUGAGGAAAAAAAAAUAUCACUUCCUUUCUAUAACAUCACAAGCAAAUAAAUGCAACUUUCAAAUAUUGAUAAUUUUUAACUUCUGAAAACGAUGCUUCAAAAUGGUGUGUAAAAAACAAGUACCGAUUGAAUUGAGGUGGUUGAGCUCUUGAAUUAAUGGAAGUAUAAUAUUUGAUUCAUAAAUAGUAAACAUGACAGACUUGACAACUCCGAUAAACGCAUAAUUGAGAAGUUUAUUCAAACAAACUCUCACUCCACUGGUUUGCCCGACGAUUUACCUCCUCCUCCUCUAGGGUGAAGUAGUCAUUCUUGAUGUUGAUCGUUGAAGGUCCUUCUGAUAUCCGGUGUCUUCCUUGUGAUCAUAUCUGCCAGAAUCUUGCAUGUCAGGUCCAGAAGCCUACUGAUGUUCAGUUUGCAGCCUGUCAUUACCAAUAACACCUUAAUAGAGACACAUAAUCAAUGUAAGCCUUGGGCAAUUAGCCACCCACCGAAACAAUGAAAAUCAACAUACCAAAUUACUCUAGUUUUUGCAAAAGCUUGGGCAAUCUACAAAUUUACACCAACGCAGAUGCUGCAGAAAGAGGCAUAUUCCCUUACUAGCAAACUUAAUCUCAACUUGAACAAGAAAACAAGUAAACGUCGAAGGCAACAAUAUAAAGGAUACGCUCUUUUAUCUCAACUUCAGUUCAAACACAAGCACAACAUGACAACCUUGCAGUUGAAGCAGAAUACGCACAAUAAUUCAAUAUCAACCCAACGACAUCAACAACCAAAUCAAUUGAUUCAAAUCAAUUGCUAAGAACAAGAAGUUGCGGCUUAAAAAAAAAGAAAAUCACCUGGGAGUGGGAGCAAGCUUCCGUAACAUUGUACUUUCCCUUACACCUCUUAUGUAAUCUGUCUCUGUGUAUGCCGUAGCGUGGAUGACAUUAUCUAUCGUGUUCUCCACAGAUAAUCGCACAAGUGGAGGCCGUCUCUUGUCUUCCUUGCCGAUAGGUCUCACAAAGCCACUCCAUGUCAUCACGUCACAAAGGAUGGCCAAGUGUCUAUAACUCACCUUCUACCCAUCAUAAGAUAGCAUACCCUGCAGCUCAUCUAGCAUUAACCGACAAGCUGCCUCGAUUCCUAGAACCCUAGAAACUUUAAUCGCCCUAGUAGAGUGGAAAGUACUGAGUUCCAUACAAGUGGAAGACUUGCUAAUAGAUUGUGCAGCAGCUAGUUCGACCAUUUUCCCUGGUUCUACAAGUGACUGCCGGAAGCACAACUCUAUGUGAUUAAUAACCCACCCAAAUGAUUCACGUGUUAGCCAAUACUCAUCCAACACCCUUUUGCUAGCCAACGUGUUGCGAAGGAAAAUGUUGAAAAACAGUGUAGCAUUAUUUUGAGCUUCAACACUGAAUGUGUCAUCGCCGGGAAUAACCUUCAACCUCCCCUGCAGCUUAUCAAUAGCUUCCACAAUUUCCUUCGGGUGCAUAUCUAAAGCUCUUCGUAAGUCAAUCUUAAAGGUUUUUUGGGCGUUCCACAUAAUCCUCUUCAAGUUAACAGGAAGCAGCUAGGAAUUACCAUAUAUGCCUCCAAUCUCUCUGCCAAGUUGUGAUUUGUCUGUUUCAAGUCUUUUAACUUCUGCUUCGACAACAUCGUGACAUUCUCUAAUAGUUCUGAGAUCCUGCACAUGUUCACGCAACAUGUAAUCCGGAUACCAAUCUUCAUCUUCCAAAUCAUAUGCAAAAGUCUUUUCAAAUUCUUAUUUUUUUCAUUUUUAAAGAGUCCAGCUUUUGAGAUUCUAACCAAGCAGCAUCCAUCCUAUCUUCUCCAUAUACAAACUGAAUGACAUCACCCAAAGAAUUACAUAUGGUGCCAUCAUACUGCACCAUAAUAUCCUCCAAAGCAUGCACUAGUCUCCUUUGGAUGUACCCAAUCUCAUAUGUCGUAACUACAGUAUCUGUGAGACCUUUCCUACUAUCCAUGGCAUGAAAAAGAACUCCUGUAGAGUUAGACCGUGCAAGUAUGAAUUCUUUACGAACCCACGGCAUUCUGGUCCAUAGUCAUCUUCAGUAAGGUGGGGCAAUGGGGGGUGGUCUAUCAACCCAUACGGGGUUCUCUUACCUUCAAUGUUCAGCUGCCCUACACAGGCAAUCAUAUGUGACAUUUUUAUAAAAUUCCUUUUGGAUCCAGCUGUAACCAUGGCCUUAAGAUUGUUCACCUCGGAUAGACUCUUUUCAGCACUACUUCCAGCUUUAUCACGAGCCCUAUUCAACACCUGACCCAAAUCAAAUAUAUAUUAUUACUCUGUAGUAGAUGAUGGAAUUUAAAGAAACAAUGGUGUUUGGUCACUGAAAAAUCUAGAGAGAGAAAGACUAACGAAAACUGAAAUUCUAUUUUCAUUGAUUGAUCAACAGUUGCACUCUGUUUUGAUAUUUAUACUAACAUCUUCUCAUCUUCUCAUCUUCUCUGUAACAAAACUAACAGACUCCUAACAACAAAGCUAACUAAAUGGAUAGCUGCCAUUUUGAUUUCCCAUGAUCAGAUUCAUAAACAUUGCUGCGAACCCACUUUACUUGCUGACCAGAUACAUUACUAACAGUAGGAAGCUAAACAAGAAUAAAUUGCAGACAAUCCAUUAAUGCACCUGGUUCACUUUGUUUUCAAACGAGUCCACCAAAGUUCGUCCAGGUUCAGCCUCCAGCUGCUUGGACCGGGCUUUACUAACAAGCCCUUCCACCUCAUCUUUUGCCUCAGAAAUUGUCUGCUUGAUUUUUUCCGUUGUUGCCAGAUCAACAACCAUAUCUCCAAUUCCAAUCGAAAAGGCAUUAUGCAAAAACCAAUAGUGCGCAAGCAACUGGGCAUUGCCCAAAAAUUUGCAGGCUGCAUCUGGACCAUUCUUUCCUGCAAAACGAAAUAAAACCAAUCAAUAACAGUACAACUUGACUUUCACUUUGAUGGUUGAAUAGCGGCAAAUUGCAUACCAUAUCACAUGUGUUAGACCAUGCGUGGACAUCCCAAGAGUAUCCUUACAAAGGGUACCCGAAAGAUGUUCACCUUUCUGUAUCAUCACCAAACUAUCAGUUUCAACCGGAGUAAUGUUACCCCUCUAUGAUUCUGAGUGCCAUGCAGGUGUUUGGAAAUUUAUCUGUUUUGGUACGAUGAGACCAAACACUUGUUUCCCGGUCCAGAUGGGUCGGGGAUUCAAAAUUGCAGGAGCAGGAACUUCACCAACAAAUCCUCCAGCCACAUCAACAUGGUAAGGGGAAAAGAAAAAGUAAAUAAAUGAAGGUUAUGUCACCGUCACCUUCUCAAUGAAGGUGCCCAUCUUGCUGAUCUUACAACAACCUAAUAGGGAAUCUUUGGAAAGUCCCACUUCAAGCCGAUUUGACUGAGGGGAAAACAUGCAUUUGGGCACCAUCACGCAUUCUAGCACUUCCGUCCUUGUUUCUAAUGACUGAGGAACAUGCAUCCUCAUAGGAUCCCCGCCAAAAUCAGCUGAAGUGAUGGACGGAUUCAACCGAAAAGUUGAACCUGGCACGACCUUGACUCUAUGCCCCAUAAUAGACAUUUUAUGGAGACUACGCUGACGGUUCAAGACGACAAUGUCCCCAUCCUUCAAAUGGCGCUCCACCUGCACCCACAAUAGUAAACGUUCAGAAGUGAUGGUUAAAGAUAAAAGACACGAACCAAAACUUAUCAGAACAAUAGAGCAAUGCCUUGUCUCCAUGCUUUAAAGGCCAUUCAAUCCUGUUCUUCUUCAAGAUUCCAACGUCAAAUCUUUUUCCAUCAACUGUUAUUAUAGACCUAGCAGCUCUCGUUUCACCACAAGGAGGUUUCUCCCCAAAGAAAAACUCAUUCAACCUGUUUUUUAGUGAUGAAAGUGGCGUUGAUAUAAACUCAAAACGAAAUAAAAUAAAAACAAAAGAAGAGGAAACUUUAAAUGCAGAGAGAAGAAGAAAAAAAAAACAAUACAAAGAUCACAAUCUCUGGAAAUGUGAGAUCCAGAGCAAUAGUCCAAGGUACACCUAAUUGAUCCACCUUUAUGUUUGGAUCCGAGGUUACCAUUGCUUGUGCUGACUCAAAAACUUGCUCUUCCAUCAAAUGCUCUCUAAUAAGACCUUCCCUUCCAUUAAGCCUGCAGCAUAUUGAUCUAAUAGGCAUCCCUGCAUCUGUCGUAGCCUGUUCAACAGAGAAAAGCUUGAGCAUACAUGUAUAAAAAGAAGCAUGCAGGUUACAAAAAGCUUUUAUUUAUUUAUUUAUGAUGUGUAUGAACAGGGCAAAAGAGAUGCAGCAUAAAACCAUAUUGCUUCUGUGAUGUGUAUGAACAGGAAAGAGGAGAUGCAGCAUAAAACCAUAUUGCUUUUCUGAUGUGUAUGAAGAGGCAAAAAGAGAUGCAACAUAAAACCAGAUUGCUACAUACAGAAGUGUGUCUCCAUCUCCAUGUAUACAAGAAGCCAUACCCUUGGUUGUCCAGGCAACUUGUUAUAAUAUUGGGAUAUGUAAAGCUCCAACAGGCGCUCACCAUGAAGGGAACGCACUUUCCUAGCAUUGAGAUGAUUAUUGAGGCGAAUAAUCCUGUAGAGCUGGAAAGUGAGAUCAUCCUGGUAAAUGCGGCAAGAAUCCGCCCUCAUGAAGGGCCUCACGUGAGGUGGAGGAAUUGGAAGAACUUGUAUGAUCAUCCAAUCCGGACGAGCAAAUGUAAGGUUGAACCCCAACUGACGGCAUGGCUCAGUGUGUAUCUUCUGCAGAAUAGCAAGAGCCUGCAAGAAUGAUUGAAUUAUAAGUUAGCAUAUAUACAUGCAAAAUGUCGUCGCGAGUCUAAUAUAAGGAAUGAAAGCAUUUCCUCGUCGAAUUUACCUUUUGUGCAGUAAAGGGCACUUUUUGUACAGGUGCCGGUGCAGGUCCAGGUUCAGGGUCGUCUUUUCUCUUUCUUUUAUUAGUCUGCGGGCGCAUCGGAUCUUUGAGUACGCUACUGCCCUCCAGAUAGAGCUUGGGCUGCGAAGUUUUACAUUUGGGACAUUGUAGUCUUGAGGAAUGUACAGGGUCGACGUCUGAAACUGAAAUUUGGUCUCAAAUGUGGUCUUGUGGUUGAGGUUGGAUCAUUUUAAGCCUUUUUCGUGGCCUGUUGAAUGUCAGGGCAUGGUUAAAAUUGGUGCGAACCUGCAAAAUCAAGGUACAACUUUGUGAGGGUUUGAGAAUUUUCAAUUCAUCCAUCUUAUUUACUGAAGCAAAAAUGCAAUGAACUUACCAGAAUUCGUGAACAGCGGAAGCAUACGGAUUCCAAUACCGAGAACACCGUCUUGGUGAACAAGACGUGGUAGAAUGGUUGGGCCAAUACAAUGUGACCAAAAUGGCCAGGGCAGCUGUGCACGUCUCCGCCACAAGUCUCCCAGUUGACAUUUCGGGCAAUUGCACCCAGCCGAGGGUCACUCAGACCUUCCCUCUUCGCUUCCUCUGCUAUCUCACGGCACCGAUGCGCCCAAACACACGAACAUGCACACACAAUAAUCAUAUUUCAGGGAAAUAAAUUGCGAUUUUGAAGAAUAAACUUACAAUUUCUUUGGGGUCGAGCAUGCCGAACUGUACACAGCCAACAACUUUAUCGUGCUCCAUUUUCUGCUUCCGGGUUUCUUCACCUUCUUCAAGUAGUUUCUUUCUAAUUUCAGCUGAGAGAGAAGGAGAGAGGGGAGUUCUGUAAAGCAACCUAAAGAAAAUGAGGCUUUUUAACUAGGUCGUACGUCUUACUUUUGGUAGCCCGCUGAAAUUUCAUCUUCUAAAUCUCCAUUAAUUGGAUCUCCCACGAAAAAAAAUUUCAUUCUGACUGAACACGUGGUAAAUCAAGUGAAAUUUUAUUUUUUAAGUUAUUAAUUUUUUAAGACAUAUAUUUCAUCAUUUAUAUAAUAACACGUGGUGUACCAUCCUGUAUUUCAGUCACAUUGAAAAAUCUCUCCUGCCCACCAUAGUUAUUUCUUUCUUUCGAGACAUUCUGUUUCCGACCCUAGCUCUUCGGGGUUUAAGUAAUCAAUUUUAUAUCCAUGUACUUCUCCCUCUCCAGUGAAUAAGAACAACUAAAGGAGUGAGGCAGCACGUCACAACCCGUCCCGAAAUAUUAUAUUUUUAGGCAUGAAAUUUCUAAUAUGCCCUUGGACGUUUUGACUUAUGUUGUGUGGUUUAGACUUGGGUUGUGGACCAAUAUGUUAAGUUCUAAUUAUUUUGGACCAAUUAGAACUAAACUUUCCUAGUUUGUGGUUGGUGGUUGUUGCCAACUUGGACCACACAUUCACUCACACACAUACACAUCACUCUCAUGCUCUCUCUCUCCUCCCUCUCAGACUUCUCUCCAUUUUCGGUAGAAGCCGUAUGGACGAACUUCGAACUCAAGCUUUCAUGCACGGAUCGACAUCAAUAAGGUAAUUUUUGAACUCCUUACAAGCUUCUGAGUUCAAUUAUACUAAUUUUAAGACAUGAAACCUUCGAUUUCACGAGGACUAAGAAUCUCCGAUUCGGCGUAUUAUUCAUGUGGUCGUAAUUAUGGAUGUUGCAUGAGAUUUAAAGCUUGUAGGAAGCUUUAAAACAUCCGUACGAAGCUUGGAAAAGAAAAACCAAGUAAAUUGGAUGUCGGGAAUUUGAGAUUGGCAAGUUUUAAGUUCAGCCGGAUUAUCAGAGCUUUUUCCGGCGAGUUCCCGGAGUUUUAGGGUCUAAAAGUGGUAAGGUUUUAUUCUACUCCUUUAGGACUUCAAUUUGAUAUAAAUUUGGUGAAUUUUGGUACAAAAAUGAAGAAGUUAUAUGGUUUUAAAGUUUCCAGUUUCUCGCGACGGAGACGGUCGCCGGAGUUCGGAGGUAGGAGACGACGGAAUAUUCCGUCCUAACGGCGACUAACGGCGUUGGUUGAUUUUAACGGAAUAUUCCUAACUGCAAUUAGGGUUCUGUCAGGGUUGGCCGCGAGUGGGGGCGCGUAGUGCCAUGCCCUCAUCGGCGCAUGACGGAGCGUGACAACUCCAAAAAAAUUUCUAAAAUUUGGGGAUGUUCAUGGAGUUGUGUAGGUUACGAUGGUAUAUUUAUAUACCUCAUUUGAGCAAUGUAUGAGAAGUUAUUAUCUGGUUUUGGUUAUGUGCUAUAAAAUAACGUUUUUAUAGUUGUUUCACAUAUAGGUGAAAUCUAUCCCGAGGAAGAGCGCAGCCAGGCUAGGCACAGGGGCUACGACCCUUCUACAUAUCAAUAAGUGGGCUUUUGAUUUUCUGUAUACAUGUAUAUACUUGAUAUUUUUCCCAGAAAACAUAUUUAAAUGUUAAUAUGAUUUGAAUUGCCAUGCCAAAUAUUCUAUAAAAUUGUUUAUGCAUAUAUUGGUUGCGUAUAUAUUAAUGUUGGUGCUGUGGACGCUCAGGUAAGUCCCAGGUGAGUAUUGAAUUGUGAUUGAGAAUUGCAUGGUUAUGAUCAUAACUGAGGAAUAUUAAGCUCAUAAACCUACACCCCGGUGUUGUGAUUUCGCCACGGGUUGGCACAUGCACGUUAUUGAUGUCACCUCCCACACCAUAUGCUUACAUUGGAUCCAAUUUAAGUGCACAAUCUUGUCGUGCAGACCACUAUAGGUGGUUCCGACUCGUAGGUGACCAACGAUUUAUCGCACAACUUAUGUGAGAGUAUAGCUUUGAGCAUAACUAUAGUACACACAGUCUUGUCGUACAGACCACUAUAAAUGGUUCCGACUCGUGUGCAUGCAUAUAUAUAUAUAUAUAUAUAUAUACUUAUUGAGUUAUUGAUUCGGCCGUACAGGCCACCGAGGGUGGAUCCGGUUAACAUGCAUUUAUAUUGAGUUAUUUCACCUGGUGCACUGAUUUGAUUAAGCAAUAGUUAGUUGCUUUGCAAUGCCAACAUCUUCACAAAACUUCUCAAAUUCCAAGGAUAUGUAUACUCUCCUCCUUUGUCACUUCUGAGCUUCUUCAACUUGUGAGCAGUUUGUAGUUCAACCAUAGCCUUGAACAUUUUAAAAAUUUUGAAUACCUCAAACUUAUACUUAUAAACCCAACACAUCAUUGACUUGUCAUCGAUGAAGGUAAGAAAGUAUCUGCUACCACCAAGAGUCUCACUCAUGGGUCCAUACACAUCUGUGUACAAGUUCUAGUGGAAAUGUUGCCCUCCAUCUCUGUUCUUUGUUGAAGGCCUCUCUGUGAGCCUUUCCAGUGGCACACUCUUCACACACCUAAUUGUGCUCUUGUAAGUGAGGCAGACCAUACACCAUGCACCUUUCUUAUAGCAUUCUCAAACUAUCAUAGUUCAGAUGCCCAAAUUUUCUGUGCCAUUUCCAUGUAUUUCCUUCAAUAGUUGCUCUAUUUGCUACAAUGUGAUCCACAAAUUCAAACAUUAGAGGGAAACAUCUAUUUCAUUUCAUUUGCACAGUAGCAACAUGGUCUUGCAGAUCCCUAUCACCAAAUAUGCAAGCCAUGAAAUCACCAAAUACUAACCAAUACCCAUGUUCUACCAUUUGGCCUACACUGAGAAGGUUCUCAUCUAAACCAGGUACAAUCAUGACACCUGGUAUGUACCUAGUUCCUCUCUUAGUCUCCACUACCAAAGUCCCUUUCCUAAUUGAAUCAACCAAGUUUCCUGUGCCCAUUUUCACCUUACACCUUAUACUCCUGUCAAUGUUGAUAAGAAAUUUUCAAUCACACAACACCGAGAAAACCAGAAACCCAAAAAAUCUGCAAUGAAGUGAGCUUGAAAUUUUGAAUCACGGUACCAAAAACUCAGAAAACGCAAACCAGAUCCAACCCCCAUCUUCUACCUUUGGGCCAAUCGCACAUGCAACCCGCUCCCAACUCCUAAAUUUUCAAUCUCUUCCUUGCUUUGUGGUUUGAUUGUGAAGAUUUGCAGUCGAUUAUGAAGUUGGGAGAUGAACAGCUUCUAGGUUUAAUUUUGAUGUUAAUUUCUUUCAUCAAAGGAGAGAGAUGAACAGAGAACAAAAGGAAGAAAAUAGGGAGAUGAACGGAGAUCAAAAGAAGAAGAUGAAGAGGAAGAGGGACGAAGGAAAAAAUGAAGAGGGACGAAGAAAAAUUAGGAAGAAAACAGAGGGAGAGGGGCGGAGAAAAUUUAACUUAUGCUAUGGAACUAAUGAAAGCAACGUGAUGCAGAGAAGAUCAUGUUUUCAAACACUGAUGCUAAAGUGAUUAAAAGCAUUUACCUGACGCUCGAGCUUCUAGUUCAAAUUCCCCUCGACCUAUACGUUUGUAUUAAAAAUAAAAUAAAAUCUCCAAAUCCCUAAUCUGAAUCCCUCAAUUCCUAAAUUAGGGACUUAUACAAAAUCAGAAAUUCGACAUCACUUGAAUAUCUAAAAUCCCCAACCAAACAUAAAUUAGAAACCCCUAAAUCUUAAAUCUCUAAAUCAGAAUCUAGAAACGAGCCCAUAAAUUAAUAAAUUGCAAAAAAAAAAAAAAAAAAAAAAAAAAAAAAAAAGACUUACAGAGCCGGCCGGAGCAAUGGAACGGAGCAGCUGGAUUAUUAUAUGGAAUGGAGGAGGCUCGAGUGGAAAGUUCGGAUCAUGCGCGGUCGGCAAUGAGAGGGAGAGAGACGCAAAUGCUUAUAGCAACCUCAUUUCGUUUUUAGAAUUGAAUUACUUGCUAAAUUCAGUUUUAAUUUUCAAAUGAAAAAAGAGAUAUGAUACUAAUUUUCAAACUUUGUUUAACUUAGGAUAAAAAACUUGUUUGGGAAUCCUUUUAAAAAGACAACUUCAAGCAUUUUUCGGAAUGCUUUUAAGACGACUUCAAGCGUUUUCAAAAAUGAUUUUUAAAUCAUUACUUAGUAAAAACGCAAGUUAGUUCUUAAAAAACACUUACUUUGGAACUCAAAAAUAUUUUCUUAAAAAAUCUUUUCAUCCGUUUUAAAAGCAUUUUCAAAUCUUAAUUAUAUGGCAUGAGUAUGCUAUUAUUUGACACUGAACGCAAAUUUAGAGGUCGAAAUAGAAAGAAAAUAUACGAGGAAAGACGAAGAAACAAAAAAGGACAAAUUACAGUUUACUGGGUGCAAUUACAAUGCACCAUCUUUAAAACAUUUCAAUUUUACACAUGUACUUGUUAUUUCAUGUCAAUGCCAUACAUCGUUACAUUUUAUAUCAACUUGAGUGGUAAAUGAUUGAUGAUGCGACUCUAACUUUAUGUCAUACGAAUAAAAAAGUAGUAAACUAUAUAUGGUAUCACGUAAAAUUUAGUACAAAACUUCGACAAAAAUCUAAUAAAAAAGUAGUAAACAAUUUAUGUCACAUUCCUCCUCAUGCUCAAUUCAAUUCAUCCAAUUCUGAUUCCGAAAUAGUAAAACAAGCCAUAAGUGAUCUUAUCUUAAAAACCAGUUUCAUAAUCAUUUUUAUGCAAACUUAAGCAGAAAUCAAAGGAAAUGAGGAAUGAUAGUCACAUAUAUAUAGAGAAGAAAUGUAACAAGAAUUCAGCUAGAAAAUGACACAACUAAGGCAUACACACCAAGCUUGAUUCAAACCACGUGAGAAACAACUUAAUGGAAGUAGAAGAUUUUGCUUCAGAAAUAGUAAAACUGGCAAUGGCAUUGACAGUAGUAGAAGAACCACUACCAACAUCAGAAUCCAACUUUUAUCUACAAUUUGAAAGGACUUGCAACUCCGAUAAAAGCACUUAAAAACAGAGAAUGAUAAAGAAGUAAGCUGAUUAACUAGAAUACAUGAUAGGUAUGCCAGCACUAAGUUCCAAGUAAAAAGACCAUCACCGAGAAACUUCAUUCAAACGCCCACUGGUUCUCACGACGAACUUCCUCCUCUUCCUCCGGGGUGAAGUCGUUAUUGAUGUUGAAGGUCUUUCUGAUCUCUUCUGGAGUCUUACCCUUGAUCAUGUCUGCAACUGUCUGGCAUGUCAGGUCCAAAAGGCUCUUGAUGUUCAAGUAGUUUGCAGCCUGUCAAUGCCAAUAUCAUCACAUUAGAAAAACAUAAAUAAUGACAGUUUUGGCAAUUAGCCACUCACAGAAAUAAUGAACACCAACAGAUCAAAUUACUGUAGUUUCUGCAAAAGCUUGCAAAGUAUAUUCAUAAACCAAUUAAACCGACAAUACUAUCGCCACAGACUGAAUAAUGAUGAUACGCAUGGAAACUAGUUAUUUGUUCCACCACUCUACAAAUUGACACACCACAAAUGUUGCAGAAAGAGGCACAUUCUCUUAUUAACAAACUUAAUCACAACUUAGAAAAGUAAACGUCGAAAGGCAAAAAAUUUCAAUACGAAGAUAUUCCUCUUUAUCUCAACUUCAAACAGAAGCACAAGACAAACUUGAAGUAGAAGCAGAAGCAGAAGCAGAAUCAGAACAAGCACAGUAACAUCAAAAGCAACAAAAUCAAACAAUUCAAAUACACAGAAACCACUGAAUCAAAUCCCUAAACAGAAACAAAAGUAAAAAAUAAUCGAAUUGCAUCGCAUACCAAACCAUCAUAGAAAACCCCUAAAUCAGCAACCCUAUCCCAGAAAACAACACAAUUGACCCCAAUCCCCAAUUCAAAAACCCUAACCCAAACCAAUCCCCAAAUUCCGAAACCCUAGAAUCAAACAAAGCAAUCGCGAACAAGAUUAAAUCGAAAUUCGAGAUUCAAUUAGGGUUUUAACAUACCAGAAUGAGAUCAAACAGCGUAGCCUGGUCCACCUUUACGAACUCCUGAUCCCAGGCCUUGAGAUCGUCCUCGGAGAUCUUCUCGUCGGGCUUGGCGGCGUCGACGUGCCUCUUGCAGUACUCGAUGACCUUGGCCAAGAUCUUGCUGGUGACGUUGGGCAAAGGAAUACCGUUGUCGGCGCAGUCGUCCUCGAUCAUGUGCUUAAUGGUCUGUGACUCCAGCGCCACCGCCUCCUC